rnacentral:lncRNA from 1 species
CCACGCCCCCUCUAUCGAAGGCGAGUCCCAAACUGUCAGGACCCCGACUCAAUGCCACAUCGAUCUAGCAUGUAACACCUCAUAUCACUUUGCGGCCUCACGCACGGUAUUCCCACGGGUGUCGCCUUACCUUAGCCCGGGACCGUUUGCGCCUUUUGGCACACGUAUAUGACGGUGUCGCUAGCAUCCAUAUGAUAAGGAGCCCGGGCUGACAUGGCUAGUCGUAAACCCAAAGUGGCACAGACUUACAGGGACAGGCAUCCAUGACCCAGCAUCGAACGUGUCGGUCAUCAACGAGUGAAUCCAGGCUGUAGCACUGGGCUAGGAGGACUCCGGUGAACCGGGCUGUAGCGGGCUAACAGGACUCUGGUAUUCAUCGCGUGACAUUUCCCCGAAGGGACAGACACAGGAACGAAGAAGGACACAUGCCGGCCAGCCUAAGUGUUCCGGAGCAGUAGCAAGCUACCAUGGCUCAGUGAAACACUAGGAGACAUUUCCCCGUAAGAGAGGCUACUAAAGAUAAACAACUAGAUGGUCAGAUCCCACACAUACCAAGCAUUUCAAUAACAUACACACAAUAUGCUCGAUAUGUGCAAAUACAACAUGGCAUCACAACAUGACUCUAUGACUCAAGUAAUUAUUCAAUAGGCUCCGAGGAGCGAGAUAUUACAAACAUGGGUCUCACGACCCAACAAUCAGAGCAUACAAGUCAAAGCACAAGCGGAAGCUAUCAUGUCUGAGUACAGACAUCUAUAAAUGAAAAAGGCUGAGAAGCCUGACUAUCUAUCAGAUCCUGCCGAGGGCACAAGAUCGUAGCUGAGGUAUCAAGCUAAACGUCGAAGUCCACGCGAAACUACUAGUGAGACCGAAGUCUCUCUGCAAAAACAUAAAAUAGGCAAGCGUGAGUACAAAUGUACCCAGCAAGACUUACAUCAGAUCUAACUACAUAUGCAUCAUUAUCAACAAAGGGGUGGUGGGGUUUAACUGUAGCAAGCCAGCUUUGACUCGGUGGCUAUCCUAAACUACGACUGCAAGCGACUCUUUUGAGGUGGCGCACACGAGUCCACAUAUUCACCAUAUCAAUACACCACUAUGGAUCCGCCCCGUCUCCCUACGAGAACGCCAUCCAUAGCACUCACGCUUAUCUUGCGUAUUUUAGAGUAUCCACUUUCGCUUGUCUAUGAACUGAUAUAAGCAACCCAGAAGUCCUUUACCGCGGACACGGCUAUUCGAAUAGAUGAUGUUAACCCUGCAGGGGUGUACUUCUUCAUACAUGUUUCCACCACUUAGCGUCUGCACACGACAUGUGCUCGGCAGACUUCAAGCGAAAGCCGACGUGGGUGUAGACCACGACCUACCUAAACACUCAAGUCUCUAGUCCAGGUUUAUCGCCUAUUCGGGUUCCAUCCAUGAGGAGAUCCGGCCGGAGUUUCGCUCACAUCCCCAAACGAUGUGAACAGGGUUCCGUGACACCAAACAGGCGCCCGGUUUACCCGGCCACGUGCCUACCGCAUCACAGCCCACCCCUCCGGUCAGCGCUGUCCACGGCCUCCAGCAUACUACAAACACCAGAAACUACUUGCAACUCCUGGACAGAGGACAAGGGUGAAUAAGAAGUCGAGCGGGGUCAUAUUUCAGGGCCCAAUGUAUGGUAGUAGCUGAAUCAUGGAUCACAAACACAGAACUCAGUUCCUAAGGACGGCUUCAAUGAGACAACCCACCAUGUACUCCUACAUGGCCUCUCACCGACACCUUUUACCAAAUCGUGUUCACACACUUAGCUCACACACAGUAGGACAUGUUCACACACCUCUGUUUCAUCCCCGAUGAAUCAGACCUGACUCAACUCUAAGCAUUAGCAGGCAUGACAAACAAGCAUGAAUGAGUAGGCACAUCAGGGCUCAAACAACUCCUACUCAUGCUAGUGGGUUUCAUCUAUUUACUGUGGCAAUGACAGGUCAUGCAAAGGAUAAAGGGGUUCAGCUACCGCAGCAAGUAACAGAUGAAUCGGUGUUGUCCUAAUGCAGUAAAAGAGAGCAGGAGCGAGAGAGUAGGAUUGUAUCGGAAUGAACAAGGGGGGUUUUGCUUGCCUGGCACUUCUGAAGAUAACAUUGAGUCUUCAUCAGUGUCAACGAUCACAUCAUCGGAACAUCGUCUACCGGGAGGGAACAGAUACCGGCAACAAGAAGAAAUACAAUCAAUGCAAUGCACAAUAUGAUGCAUGCUAUGACAUGGCAAUAUGAAUGUGUUUCGGGCUAAUGCACCUAAAACCAGAUUAAAUGAAGUUGGUUUGAAUCCAAGAUUCAAAUUCAAACUCCAUAUGUGGUUAUUUAAAUGUCAUUCACUUCAUUUGCUCUAAACAGUAGUGAUAAGUUGUUCUAACAUGCAUGAAAAUGGUACAGAUGGAUUCCUUGAAUUUUUCUGAUAAUUUUUCAUAUAUAAAUUAUUUAAUUCGGAGUUACGGUUAAUUUUCUAUCAAUUUUGGAAGUUUUAGGCAUUUUUCUGGAAUUUCAGAAUUAAAUUAAAUCCAGAAAGCAUUACUGCGUCAGCAUGACGUUGGCAUGACGUCAGCAAGUCAACAGGGGCCGGCUCGGGUCAAACCUGACGUGUGGGGUCCACACGUCAGUGACACAGGGGCUAAUCCGCGUUGACCCGGGCUUUGACCCACUACGGGGCCCACUGUCAGUGGCUGUGGGGGGGUGUUUAGGGCGUCAUUAGUGCUAAUUAGGCGUGCCACGUCGGCAGUCGCCGGAGUUCGGCCGGCGCCGACCACGGCCGACAGCGGAGGUGCACCGUGCGCUCGCUACGGAGCACUAUUUGACGUGCGGUUUGCUCCUACGGGUUCCUGGGAGGAAGGCGCAUCUAAAGAGGUAGGUGACAGCAGCUGGGGUGGCCGGAGCUGCCGGCGGCGAGCUCCUUUGCGGCUGUCGGAGUUCGGGCAAUCUCGGGGUUGGGGUUAGGGAGCACGGCAGGAGGAGCUGGGGCGUGCUACGGACUCCUGAGAUCACGGUGAGCACGUCCGUGGGCUCGGAUACGAGCUGGGGUGGCUGUGGCCACGGCCACGCCAUGGCCGGCGGCGAGGAGCAAUCGGCUCCGGUGAAAAGGCGGCUAGGGUACGGGAACGAGCGCGAGGAGGAGGGGGAAUGGAAGAGUAGCUCACAGGGGUUGCGACGGUGGCCUCGGGGAGCUCGGGGAGGCACCGGAGCCGACGAAUUUGACGAAGAUGGUCGGCGGUCCCGAGGUUGAAGAAGACGGUGGUGGCGACGUUGCAGGGGCUCCCGUGGUGCGCUUCUCGGUGAGGAGGAAGAGGUGGUCGAGGCGGAUCUCCUGUGUACUUCGGGUGGCAGUGAGGAGCACGGUGGCUACGGCGAACGGCGUCGGCGACGAUGAGCUCCGCUCGGGCGCGUGCAGGGAGGAAAGCAGAGGAGGGAACGGGGUCCAGGGGAAGAGAAGGGAGGUGCAGGGGGUGAGGGGAAGUGCGUGGCGUGAGGGGGAGGCUCGGGAACGCCUCGGUGGAAGCAGGAGGUGGCCGAGGCGGCAUCGGCGCUCGCCACCGAGCUGCUUCGGUGCGAGGGGAGGAAGAUGACAAGGGGGAGGAGGUGGGCUGGGCCGGCCAGGUGGGGGAGCUGGGCCGGCUACAGGUAAGUGGCCCAGGUAGGCUUCUGCUCUUUUAUUUUUCUGUUCUAUUUAUUUAUAUUUAAUUUAUUUUGCCACUGUUUUGAAUUUUAAAAUAAUUCAAACAAUGCCAAAAACUCCUCUGAAUAUUUUAUAUUGCUAGAUGGACUUUUCCAAAAGCUUAUAAAAUAUUUCAGGGGUAUUUGAAAUUAUAUUCUAAUUAUAUGAAUAUAAUUCAAAUUCAAAUAGCUAAUGAUUUAAAUUCAAAGUCCCAAAAAUAAAUCCUUAAAAAUGUUCAAUAUUUUGGUUGGGAUCAGAACCCUUGCCAAAAUUAUCAAACAUUUAAGAAGAGCAUUUUGGAACAAUGAAUGGGAUUUUUAGGGUUUUUGCCCUUCUUUUAUUUAGGGUUUUGAGGCUUCUAAAUUCCUCAGUUCAAGUUUCAAAAAUUUAAACAUGAUGCACAGAUGAAGCUAGCCUAGAGCAUUACCAGAAGCUAGGGAUGUGACAACUCACCCCCACUAAACAAGAAUCUCGUCUCGAGAUUCAAGCGUAGGGUAAGGUGAAGGGGAAACGCAAACUAGUACACUCCUCACGAUCCAGGUUGCACUUCAGUUGAACAUUGAUUCAUUCACCAUCAUUGUCUUGAUGUCUUGCUCUGAGAAAUCCUGCCAACAUGACAUGGGGGGAAGAAGGAGACUCUAGAAGGGUCGAUCUUCUCGAAGAUCGAACAAAUCACGGAAUGAGACAUAGGACCAUCUCUCGGGUUGAGACACGAGAUACACAUCAAGAGGGGUGGAAAGAAACGGAUGACGAGGGUUCACUAGUUAAACAACGAUUCCACACCUAAGAAGGUGGUAAACGAUUGUCCACGUAGCGAGGAGUUGAGUUGCCAUGAUACCACGACGAAACAUCCUGAAGAAGGGUGAUUCGUAGAUUAUUAUCUUAAGUGGCAAAAAGAAUUACCUUUGAUUCAAAGAUCAUUGAAACUCUUUAUACCAGCCUAAGGCAAUCACAAGCGAUCAUUUGGAGGGGGUCGGUAGAAUGGCAUACUCGGACUUGGAUGAUGUGGAUUACCUUGUUGAAGAUAACGUAAUGGAUGAAUUUGCUUAUCACCGGAGAUGGAAGAGACCCAUGGUAGAAUGGCACAUUGGCGGUGCAAGCUAGGAACAAAAUGCGAAUGCUGGGAAUGAUUCUGGUAACUGGGGAAGGACCCAACCAUAGAGAGUGAAUUCACUGUUUGAAAGGAUCAUAGCAUUGCCGAGGAAACUGAGAGCAAACCCAGUUAGUGCCGAUGAUAACACCUAGCGCUUGUGCGUGCUCUCAAGAACUUGAGCAUUUCCACAAUCAUCAAGGUUUUACCAAUAUCCGUGUCAAGGAUCCUGGCAACACAACUUGCUACCAUGAUGAAUGGUGAUGGAGGAUGCAGAUGCAAAGGAAGAUAAUACCUUCUCAGAUUUCACCUUAGCGAAGCCAAGGAACAAAAUCUGGAUGAUCGACCGAGAGACAUUUAGCACUCCGCUUCUAAUGUUCUCCUUGACGUGCUAGUGUAACCCAUUCAUAGAUAUGGUUUGAUAACUAGAACAUCAAGUAAAGGUCGGACUUCGGGAGCAAUAGAAUCCAUAAGGAACAGUUACGGAGGUAAAUCCUACGAAAUCCUUAUGGGGAGGUGGCCAACUUCCUCAAAUAAGAUACUACAAUGAUAGGUCUUCCGGCUGGGUGUGUUGGCCACGACAUCCACUUUACCGGUUAUCGAGGGACCAAUAUUAUAGUUCUUGGGAAAUGUUCCAACCAUCAUAACUGCCUGAGAUUCAGAUCUGGUUGGUGUCAGUAUAUUCCAGACUCAUCGAGUCUAGGAAGAAAAAUGAAAGUUUGCAACACAAAUCGACGAGAUGACGUUGCGAGAUUCUCGGGGAAUGAACUACGAUAGUAAGCUCCAAAACAUGAGCUGGUUCUGCUACAAACAUGUGAACACGUUGUCCCAGACAAGCAUGACCACAUGGUAGUCUUACAAUAAAACACUACCGAGUUCUGGUUGGGAACCAUCAGCGAGGAUAUCGAAGUUCUUUCAUAAGUCCGGAUUAGCUCUUAUGAAGAUACUCCUUCUCCUUGAACAAAUCAGUCAGUGGCUUGGUGUGCUAGGAGAUACAUAUGGAAUGAAGAUGAUCAGUCUAACAGACCAUAGAAUUCUUCGCACGUGCAUGACCGACUUGGGAUGAUUCCAAAGGAGCAAAAACAAACUUUCUCGAAUUCACGACGGCAGCUUGUAUCAAAAUGCACAUGAAUCAAAGGAAGUCACUCCUUUCAUCAAACAAGUACUUCAUGAGCUAGCAUGAAGAAAAUGCUUUCAAAAGUUUCCAACACUAACUUAAUGUUCACAACAUCGUGGAGGAGAUAAGGAUGUUGUCAAUGGGCUCAACAACAACUCAUCGGAAUUUCCAUAUCACUGGACUUCCACCAUCAUGUGAGCACGGUGAUAGCAUUGGUCAGAACCAAAAGAUAUAAUGGUGUAUGCUCGAGGAAUCAACCACGAGGAAGACAACAUUACGAACAUCGUUGGUUCUGACUUGAUUUGACGAUAGCCCACACUCAAAUCAAAGGAUUGAUAAGACAAUAGGUCCAGCAACUGAUCACAGGGACCAAUCGAUGAAGAUAUCAUCCUUCUUCAACACACACUACACAAGAAUACCCCUUUGGGACGGACUAAGUCAGGCAAGCUUUUAUCUUCCAACUCUCCAAGUUGUUGUUUGGCUUAACCAACUAGCUCAGGGGUAUCUAACACCGAUUCUUGGAGAGAAAGUGGUUCACAAGAAACCAACUUGAUCACGAGCUCAACAUAACAGUCAGGUGACAGCUGGUGAUACUUUCGAGAAGAUAUUCGGAAAAUCACGAACCACCGAUAUGUUACUAAGCUCGAGAACAAUCUCGCUUUUGAGGGCAAGACGACAUGAUCAAAUGAGUGAGGACUUGAAAUAACUCCUAACUCAUUGGUCGAGGAGUGCACCAGAAAUAGGGACUAGGUAGCACAAUCAGUCUUAGGGUGACGAUUCAACAAUCAACACGCUAAGAACGAGGUUAUCGUCCAUUUAACUACCAAGCAAUAGAGUUGCUAGCAGUAUUGACUUCAUACACCAUAAUUCAUUUGUCGGCAUUCCGGUUACAAUAACACAGGAUCCGAGGAAUGAGCAAUGAUGGCAAGAAGUAUCACUGUACCAAGAGUUCAUAGGAUGGUGUGCAAUUCCUAUAACAAUCUCGAUAUCAAAUAAGGUAAUACUCCAAGGUAGAACAGAACAAAAGCUGGAUUGGCAUUUGAUCUGCGGAAUACAACUACUUUGACCCAAUCCUAGAUAUGGAUGAGGUACUGGAGUUUGUUUCUCCUAGUCAUUCCGGAAUAGAAUGGCUUGACGGACCACAAGGGUAAUAGGCAUCGAUGAACGAAUGCACACAUAAUCUUGACUAUCAAUUGAUAGACGAGGGUCAGUAGACAACUAAAGAGGGACAACUCAAAAAAACAUAUGAUUUUCUGAGUUGUGGAUGCAUGGAUUAGCAUGUCGAACGAGUUCGACAUAUUUCUUCCGGACAAUCCAUGCAGAAAGGUUGAGCUGGCAGAGUCACAAUAUAGCAUGGAGAACUCAUCGAGAGCACUCUUGUUGUCAUCUUUUGGUUCAGAAGAACUCCUGCCAAGAAUGAUUCAUGGUAAUUGGAAGAAGGAUGUACCAUGAACCUCGAGGACUAUCGCAAAGGUUACUAAUAUCCUAAAGGCACUAGCAAUUACUAUCAACAUGAAGUAAGUAGAGUGAAUCUCGGGUUCAAAGCCCAAGGAGUAGAAUACCUACUACUAAGUAGCAUCACGGAAUGCUUUCGAGGAUAAAGGCCAGAAUCAUCACACUGGGAUCACAAAUCAUUGCUAGAUUACUAGGUGACUCCCUAAAACACCUAGGGUCAUAAUAAUAACUCCAACAUAAAUGUCAAGGCAACGGAGUACCUCAACUCACUGAUUAGUGUGGUUAAUCUGGCCCAUGGGAACAUUGAAACGGGAAGAAAGGAUUUCCAAAUGCAUCAGACUACUUAGAAACCUAGGAUGACUCGGACAGCAUAACGGCUGUAAAUGCUCAGAAAAGAUUUGAGACAUUCACAAAAAUGGUGGCAUAACCACUCAGGAGCACCAUAUCAAGGUUUCGAGAUCAACAAUUAACAUACGGAAGUAGUAGGAACUGAACUGAGACUUAAAUCCAACAAUCUUAUAAGUCCACUGAUUAGCAAGACGUGAUCCUAAUAGAAAGAAGAGAUAGCCUAGUUCUUAAUCCCCGUAGAAGAGAAGAUGAUGACUCAGAUCAGAAGGCCAUGAGGUAUAAGGAGUAAAAAGAGCCUUACGUUCCAUCCCACAAUCAAUUCCCCUACAUAUAACUAAAGAAUUUCUAGACUCAACUUCGACCAGUUUGGCUUGGUAAUCCUACAGGCAGUCAAGCUCUGAUACCAACGCUGCCAGGACCCCGACUCAAUGCCACAUCGAUCUAGCAUGUAACACCUCAUAUCACUUUGCGGCCUCACGCAUGGUAUUCCCACGGGUGUCGCCUUACCUUAGCCCGGGACCGUUUGCGCCUUUUGGCACACGUAUAUGACGGUGUCGCUAGCAUCCAUAUGAUAAGGAGCCCGGGCUGACAUGGCUAGUCGUAAACCCAAAGUGGCACAGACUUACAGGGACAUGCAUCCAUGACCCAGCAUCGAACGUGUCGGUCAUCAACGAGUGAAUCCAGGCUGUAGCACUGGGCUAGCAGGACUCCGGUGAACCGGGCUGUAGCGGGCUAACAGGACUCUGGUAUUCAUCGCGUGACAUUUCCCCGAAGGGACAGACACAGGAACGAAGAAGGACACAUGCCGGCCAGCCUAAGUGUUCCGGAGCAGUAGCAAGCUACCAUGGCUCAGUGAAACACUAGGAGACAUUUCCCCGUAAGAGAGGCUACUAAAGAUAAACAACUAGAUGGUCAGAUCCCACACAUACCAAGCAUUUCAAUAACAUACACACAAUAUGCUCGAUAUGUGCAAAUACAACAUGGCAUCACAACAUGACUCUAUGACUCAAGUAAUUAUUCAAUAGGCUCCGAGGAGCGAGAUAUUACAAACAUGGGUCUCACGACCCAACAAUCAGAGCAUACAAGUCAAAGCACAAGCGGAAGCUAUCAUGUCUGAGUACAGACAUCUAUAAAUGAAAAAGGCUGAGAAGCCUGACUAUCUAUCAGAUCCUGCCGAGGGCACAAGAUCGUAGCUGAGGUAUCAAGCUAAACGUUGAAGUCCAUGCGAAACUACUAGUGAGACCGAAGUCUCUCUGCAAAAACAUAAAAUAGGCAAGCGUGAGUACAAAUGUACCCAGCAAGACUUACAUCAGAUCUAACUACAUAUGCAUCAUUAUCAACAAAGGGGUGGUGGGGUUUAACUGCAGCAAGCCAGCUUUGACUCGGUGGCUAUCCUAAACUACGACUGCAAGCGACUCUUUUGAGGUGGCGCACACGAGUCCACAUAUUCACCAUAUCAAUACACCACUAUGGAUCCGCCCCGUCUCCCUACGAGAACGCCAUCCAUAGCACUCACGCUUAUCUUGCGUAUUUUAGAGUAUCCACUUUCGCUUGUCUAUGAACUGAUAUAAGCAACCCAGAAGUCCUUUAACGCGGACACGGCUAUUCGAAUAGAUGAUGUUAACCCUGCAGGGGUGUACUUCUUCAUACAUGUUUCCACCACUUAGCGUCUGCACACGACAUGUGCUCGGCAGACUUCAAGCGAAAGCCGACGUGGGUGUAGACCACGACCUACCUAAACACUCAAGUCUCUAGUCCAGGUUUAUCGCCUAUUCGGGUUCCAUCCAUGAGGAGAUCCGGCCGGAGUUUCGCUCACAUCCCCAAACGAUGUGAACAGGGUUCCGUGACACCAAACAGGCGCCCGGUUUACCCGGCCACGUGCCUACCGCAUCACAGCCCACCCCUCCGGUCAGCGCUGUCCACGGCCUCCAGCAUACUACAAACACCAGAAACUACUUGCAACUCCUGGACAGAGGACAAGGGUGAAUAAGAAGUCGAGCGGGGUCAUAUUUCAGGGCCCAAUGUAUGGUAGUAGCUGAAUCAUGGAUCACAAACACAGAACUCAGUUCCUAAGGACGGCUUCAAUGAGACAACCCACCAUGUACUCCUACAUGGCCUCUCACCGACACCUUUUACCAAAUCGUGUUCACACACUUAGCUCACACACAGUAGGACAUGUUCACACACCUCUGUUUCAUCCCCGAUGAAUCAGACCUGACUCAACUCUAAGCAUUAGCAGGCAUGACAAACAAGCAUGAAUGAGUAGGCACAUCAGGGCUCAAACAACUCCUACUCAUGCUAGUGGGUUUCAUCUAUUUACUGUGGCAAUGACAGGUCAUGCAAAGGAUAAAGGGGUUCAGCUACCGCAGCAAGUAACAGAUGAAUCGGUGUUGUCCUAAUGCAGUAAAAGAGAGCAGGAGCGAGAGAGUAGGAUUGUAUCGGAAUGAACAAGGGGGGUUUUGCUUGCCUGGCACUUCUGAAGAUAACAUUGAGUCUUCAUCAGUGUCAACGAUCACAUCAUCGGAACAUCGUCUACCGGGAGGGAACAGAUACCGGCAACAAGAAGAAAUACAAUCAAUGCAAUGCACAAUAUGAUGCAUGCUAUGACAUGGCAAUAUGAAUGUGUUUUGGGCUAAUGCACCUAAAACCAGAUUAAAUGAAGUUGGUUUGAAUCCAAGAUUCAAAUUCAAACUCCAUAUGUGGUUAUUUAAAUGUCAUUCACUUCAUUUGCUCUAAACAGUAGUGAUAAGUUGUUCUAACAUGCAUGAAAAUGGUACAGAUGGAUUCCUUGAAUUUUUCUGAUAAUUUUUCAUAUAUAAAUUAUUUAAUUUGGAGUUACGGUUAAUUUUCUAUCAAUUUUGGAAGUUUUAGGCAUUUUUCUGGAAUUUUAGAAUUAAAUUAAAUCCAGAAAGCAUUACUGCGUCAGCAUGACGUUGGCAUGACGUUAGCAAGUCAACAGGGGCCGGCUCGGGUCAAACCUGACGUGUGGGGUCCACACGUCAGUGACACAGGGGCUAAUCCCGCGUUGACCCGGGCUUUGACCCACUACGGGGCCCACUGUCAGUGGCUGUGGGGGGGUGUUUAGGGCGUCAUUAGUGCUAAUUAGGCGUGCCACGUCGGCAGUCGCCGGAGUUCGGCCGGCGCCGACCAUGGCCGACAGCGGAGGUGCACCGUGCGCUCGCUACGGAGCACUAUUUGACGUGCGGUUUGCUCCUACGGGUUCCUGGGAGGAAGGCGCAUCUAAAGAGGUAGGUGACAGCAGCUGGGGUGGCCGGAGCUGCCGGCGGCGAGCUCCUUUGCGGCUGCCGGAGUUCGGGCAAUCUCGGGGUCGGGGUUAGGGAGCACGGCAGGAGGAGCUGGGGCGUGCUACGGACUCCUAAGAUCACGGUGAGCACGUCCGUGGGCUCGGAUACGAGCUGGGGUGGCUGUGGCCACGGCCACGCCAUGGCCGGCGGCGAGGAGCAAUCGGCUCCGGUGAAAAGGCGGCUAGGGUACGGGAACGAGCGCGAGGAGGAGGGGGAAUGGAAGAGUAGCUCACAGGGGUUGCGACGGUGGCCUCGGGGAGCUCGGGGAGGCACCGGAGCCGACGAAUUUGACGAAGAUGGCCGGCGGUCCCGAGGUUGAAGAAGACGGUGGUGGCGACGUUGCAGGGGCUCCCGCGGUGCGCUUCUCGGCGAGGAGGAAGAGGUGGUCGAGGCGGAUCUCCUGGGUACUUCGGGUGGCAGUGAGGAGCACGGUGGCUACGGCGAACGGCGUCGGCGACGAUGAGCUCCGCUCGGGCGCGUGCAGGAAGGAAAGCAGAGGAGGGAACGGGGUCCAGGGGAAGAGAAGGGAGGUGCAGGGGGCGAGGGGAAGUGCGUGGCGUGAGGGGGAGGCUUGGGAACGCCUCGGUGGAAGCAGGAGGUGGCCGAGGCGGCAUCGGCGCUCGCCACCGAGCUGCUUCGGUGCGAGGGGAGGAAGAUGACAAGGGGGAGGAGGUGGGCUGGGCCGGCCAGGUGGGGGAGCUGGGCCGGCUACAGGUAAGUGGCCCAGGUAGGCUUCUGCUCUUUUAUUUUUCUGUUCUGUUUAUUUAUAUUUAAUUUAUUUUGCCACUGUUUUGAAUUUUAAAAUAAUUCAAACAAUGCCAAAAACUCCUCUGAAUAUUUUAUAUUGCUAGAUGGACUUUUCCAAAAGCUUAUAAAAUAUUUCAGGGGUAUUUGAAAUUAUAUUCUAAUUAUAUGAAUAUAAUUCAAAUUCAAAUAGCUAAUGAUUUAAAUUCAAAGUCCCAAAAAUAAAUCCUUAAAAAUGUUCAAUAUUUUGGUUGGGAUCAGAACCCUUGCCAAAAUUAUCAACCAUUUAAGAAGAGCAUUUUGGAACAAUGAAUGGGAUUUUUAGGGUUUUUGCCCUUCUUUUAUUUAGGGUUUUGAGGCUUCUAAAUUCCUCAGUUCAAGUUUCAAAAAUUUAAACAUGAUGCACAGAUGAAGCUAGCCUAGAGCAUUACCAGAAGCUAGGGAUGUGACACAAACGGUCACGGAGACGGCUCUUGGUAUUCUCCCUCUUUAUAACGGGACCAAGGCUCGUUUCUUUUCUUCAAUCCUCCAUCGAAUCCUCUCCCCGCUCCAAGUUCCAGCACCUAGAGCUCCAGAUUCGAGUGCUUCAGACUUUCAAUGAUGUACGGUUCCGACCUCCAAGGCCGGUGGAUGCCCUCCUCCAUCACGGAGGAGGACGUGCUAAAGCUGCGGGAGGCCAAGUACCUGGCUUAUGAGAUUUCGCACAGGUUGCCUGCCGAAGGGCAGGCCAUCCCCAGCCCCGAGCCCGGCGAGUAUGUCGUUUUUGUAUCCCACCUCCGUCGGGGUUUAGGCUUCCCGAUGGAUCCUUUUGUGAGAGGGCUCAUAUUUUACUAUGGGUUGGAAUUCCACGAUUUGGCUCCAGAGUCCAUCCUCCAUAUUUCCGCAUUUAUUGUCGUCUGCGAAGCCUUCCUCCGCGUCACCCCUCACUUCGGCCUGUGGCUGAAGACCUUCAAUGUGGCCCCAAAGAUGAUCAGGGGGCGUCAAGCGGAUUGCGGCGGGGCGGCCAUAAUUAGGAGGGCCGAUGCCCCGUGGCCCGCUGGCUCCUUCCAAGAGGAGCUCGGCCCGUGGCAGCAAGAGUGGUUCUAUAUUACCGUUCCGAGGGGCCGCAGACAAAAGCCGCCGCCCUUAUUCCGCCCGGGACCUCCAUGGUGGUUGAUGUCAUGGAUCAACCAAGGGCUCAACUGGGGGCCGUCAAAGGACGUGCCCCUUCUGCAGGGCCGGAUUCGAGAUCUCCAAACGAGGGAGGUUGAUAUGGUGGUGGUAAUGCAAGUUAUGCUGAUUAGGCGUCUCCCGCCCUGCAAACGCCGCCCUCUCUGGCUGUGGGAGUUCAAUCCGGAGGGCCCGCGGAUUCUUCAACACUUCAUGGGUAUGACACCCCUGGAGAUGUACAAAUUAUUCUUCGGAUCGCAAGAGGCGCGUCCGGAAUUGACCGAGGAUGCUGGCCUAAGCUGCAAUUGCCUGGAUACUCAAGUAAGUAGUUCCAAGUCCGGACAUACCGUUUGUUUGCCUUUCGAUGAUUCGCCUUAUGACCAACUUCCUUCUAAACAGGAGUGGAUAGCGGAAGCAAAAUUGAUAUGGUGUCCGGCCCCCUCCCCGAGACCGCGCCGGAUUCCGUGCUGGUCCGGAUGCUUGAGGUUGCGCCUCCAGAGGAAGGCGAAGGGGAAAGCAGGAAAGCUACUGCCUCGCCUAAGGAGGCUCUUGAAAGAGGGGGUAUCGAGAAUCCCUCCCUCCAAGGGGAGAAGAGGACUGCCUCUGAGGACCCGGGGGCAAAAGCCCCUAAACGGGGGAAGAAAUCUUCGCCAGAGGGUCCUGCGUCCGGGGAGGCCCCGGCCGCACAAUCUCCCUUAAAGAAUCAGCCCUCCAAUGAGUCGUAAGUAGAAAGAAAGGAGUUUUAUAAUAAGGGACAUCCCUAUUUGUGCUUCUGAGGAUAACUAAAGUUUUUACCCUGUAGUUCGGAUCUCCGUCCUUCGCAAAUGAGCUCGUCUUCGGGGGACCUUCAUCUGGAGAUGAUGGAGAGCGAGACGCCUCCGUCUGGGGCGCCGUCGGAUAGGGCGGACGAGCCUGAAGUGUCGUCACGGAGGGAGCCCCCUGGUUUGGCAAAGCCGGAUAGUUCGGCGCCAACUGGUGUACGGCUGAAGGAUCUGCUUGAGAAGGCAUCUAUCUCAGAAGAUCACCACGCAUUGAUGAGCAUGGUGAUUGAAAGGAUUUUGUCCGCCGAAGGCGGGUUGCAUAAUGCCGUCAGGAGUUUGCUGGCGGGGUUUGAGGUACGUAAAAAUGACACACCUUUUAACAGUUUUGCAUAUAGAAUGCGCCCUGUAUAGAUAGUAGCCCCUGAGACUCGGUAGGUUGUCGAAAUCGACAGCGUGCCGACGAUCAAAAUCGCAGGUUUAAAUUCCCGCCGUGCUGAUGCAGGUGGCGGGUCGUCCGGGGGCCAGCCGUACUGAUGGAGUUGCUGAACUAAAGCGGCAACUCGCUGUUGCGGAUGCGGACAUCACGCUGGUCAACAGGCGACUUGAUGAGUCGCAAGGUAAGUGUUUCUGUGCGGUCACUUGGUAUGGGAGCCGAAGCCAGCUCCUUACAACAUGUGUGUGAAAUGCAGAUAGUGCCGCUGCUGUGGAGAGCCUUCGGGCCGAACUUGCUCAAGCCAAGGAGCAGGCCAGAAGGAGUAAUGCGGCGGCCUCGAGGGCGGCCGAGGAGUUAGCGGCCGAAAGGGUCGCACACUGCCGGAGCAGGGAAGAGAUGGCCAAAAUGGCCGUGAAGUUAAAAGAUGCUACCGACCGCAAUGAGGCUCCUGGGAAGGAGCACCUAGCAGGGCAAGAAGACCUAGGGAAGGCCACCGCCGAAGCCAAGGAUGCCCGCUCUGCAAUGCGGGCUAUAAAGGAAGAGCUGCGCCAGGCCGGAGAUAUUGUAGCUGGCAAGCCUUUUCUGCUACGCCGAAGGUUUACGGAUCCAAAGUAUGCUCAGCUGGGCCAACUGUGGGGUCCAGAGGACCCUUAUAUGGACUUAGCAGCGAGUGCGGCGGAUGUCGUUGUGCAUUUUCGAAGCCAAAAGGAUCACAAGACGGAAGAGCUGUUUUGGUCUCAAUUCCAUAGUCCGGAGUGUUCACUUCCGCUGACCGACCGUUUGGCCGAGUGGGCUGAGCUAAAUAGGUUAUCCGGGCUUGCUAUGACGGAUAUAGUGACCCAUGUCUGGCCGGAUAGGCCCGAGCCGAAGAGUUACUUUGGCUUAUUGCAGCAAUUUCUUGGGGCGGUGCCGCAUAUCAAGGCGAUGAAGUGGUCGGCCUGCAUAGAGGGUGCGCGGAUGGCACUCGCCCGUGUGAAGACACAUUGGACAGAGAUGGAUGCCACCGCUGUUGCGACCCCGGGUUCGGACGAUAACCGGUUACCCGCCGAGCACUAUUUUGGCGAAGUGCUGCGUGGUGCUCGUGUAAUAGAGUCGCAGUGCUCAAAAAAUGUUACGUUCGAAUGAACGUUUUUAUGAUGUAAAACAAUAUUUAUGAUGUAAGCGCCUUUUAUACUUGUGCGUUCAAGUAAUAGAAUAUCUCCUAUGCGGCCGUUCAUGUAUACGUGUGUAUAACCAGAAAGAUGGCAGUCGUCGGCUUCAGCCCCCACGCACAAGGUGCGGGGGUGUUCGCAAAAAAUAGCGCGUUUUCACACUUAAUCCGACAUCUCGGUCCUGUAAAGGAGGUGGUAGCGUAGCAAACGAGGCAACCGGACUAUAAUGCUUUAUCACUUUCACUUAGCCAUGGAGUUCGAGGGUGGGGCUACGACAUAGCCCCUGGGGGCACCGCGCUCUCCGAAUUUGGGGCGCAUAUGUGCCUGACCGGGAAACGGCCCUUCGUCAAAGCGAAGGAAUUCUAAACAUUCCCAUGGUCGAUCGAGUGGUUGACCAGUCUCUCGCUGUAUCAUGACAGUCAGUUUUCGGCUUUCUCUACUGAGGUGCUCGCCCAGCCGAACUGGGGCACAAUCGCAGUAGUUCUCCUGGUGCCGCGUUAGCUGAUGAUACGGAACGUAAGGCAGUAAAACACAGGAGCCGGGCAAACCCAACAUUUGACCAAAGACAUGAUUCGGAGCUGAUGCAUAUAAGGCCUAACUCGAGACGCCGAACACUCCUGAAGGUGUUCGGUCUUUACAAUAGCGGGCAAAACAAUGCCCUAAGCCCCUUGUGUCCAGGUACGGGCAAGUUCUUCUGGCGCGGCCGAUGCCAAAACGCCAGUCUCCACUCUUGUUAUAAUGAGAAACCAGGGGAUUAUAGCAACAAGAGACAGUAAGAAAGGUUUACGUAGGGUCUUAGUCUGAAAAGAGUCCUUGCAACGGGUCCCUACUGCACGUCUGCGCCUGUGUCUUCGUUGUGCCAUAUCCUGGAUGGGUGUGCAUGCUGUUCAUCUGUAAAAAGAGAGGAACUUAGUUUGAAAAGAAAUCGUGUGAGAAAGUGCAUAAAAAAUUGAAAUAUAGAUUAAUAAAGUUGAGCCUAUGCUAGCUCAUUAUGGCUUAUAUGUAAAAACCCUUGUGAAGGGGUGUGCGGCUAGGUAGCCCCUAGCUUAUUUAUUCCGGACUCGUCCAGCCAUGUCCGGGGUCUCAGGCGACCUUUUAAUGAAAUGAUGCCACGUGGACCGGGCAUUUUAAGCGUAAGAGACGCGUAAUGUGGUAUUGCAUUGAAGCAGACGAAAGCUUCCCGUCCCAGUGAUGCUUGAUAGCUACUUUUAAAUGGGGCGACAUGAAAGGUUAGCUUUUCUCGUCGGAAGUUGUCAGGUGACCCAAACACAACUUCUAGUAAUAAUGAACCUGUGCACCUGGCAUAAGGGCCUGGCGCCACUCCUUUGAAGGAAGUGCGGCUAUGCCAAAUUGUAGUAGGGUCUAUCCCAACUUGCGGAUUGUGUCCGGAUAUAGCAGGUUUGAGUCACUGCCGCCGUCCAUCAAAACCUGCGUGAAUUGCAGUCCGUCUAUUAUGGGAUCCAAUAUCAGGGCAGUCUAUCCUGCGUUCCGGAUACUUCUGGACUAAUCCAGAUGGUCGAAAGUGAUUGGUUUUGACAUCCAAUCUCGGUGUUCCACUGGGGUGGACCGUGCGACACUUGUCUUAGCGAGUGCCGUGUUGGUUUUCCGUACUAUCACAUGAAGCGAGUUUACUAUUUUGACUUCUUGUGGGAAAUUCUUUUGACUUCCGGUGCUCUGCUGGUGGGGUUCGUCAUCGUCCUCGCUUGGCGCAUCGAGCCCCUUGUGUCCGGCGUUGAGUCUGCCGGACUGUUUAAAAACCCAACAAUUUCGGUUGGUAUGGUUUGCAGGCCUUCCGGAGGUACUGUGGAUUUGACAUAUCCGAUCUAAAAUUUUGUUUAAAUUUGAUAGCUCGUCGUUGUUGUCCUUAAGAGGCAGUGUUUUAUUGUUUGGCCGCGAGCUUUUGAAUCCGGCGUUGACCGCCAUGCCCUUUGGGCUUUUUUCUUUAUUCCAGCGCUGAUCUUUCCUGCGCCGUGAUUUUCCGUUUCCAUCUCUGAUCUCGGAUGUACUCGGGUCGCUGGUGCUGCAUCUUGCUAGCCAGCUGUCUUCUCCUGCGCAAAAGCGCGUCAUGAGGCUUGUUAGCGCGGCCAUUGUUCUUGGCUUCUCUUGGCCGAGGUGUCGGGCGAGCCAUUCGUCUCGGACGUUGUGUUUAAAAGCUUCUAAGGAUUCCGCGUCCGGACAGUCGACUAGUUGGUUCUUUUUGGUAAGGAACCUGUUCCAGAAUUUGCGCGCUGACUCUCCGGGCUGUUGGGUUAUAUGACUCAGAUCGUCUGCAUCCGGAGGGCAGACAUAAGUCCCUUGAAAAUUUGCUCUAAACGCGUCCUCAAGCUCUUCCCAACUUCCAACAGUGUUUUCUGGGAGGCUUUUCAGCCAAUGCCGAGCUGGCCCUCUGAGCUUGAGGGGUAGGUAUUUUAUGGCGUGGAGAUCAUCUCCUCUAGCCAUGUGUAUGUGUAGUAUGUAAUCUUCUAUCCAGACUCCGGGGUCUGUUGUGUCGUCGUAUGCCUCUAUGUUUAUGGGUUUGAACCCUGCUGGAAAUUCAUGAUCCAGCACCUCAUCGGUAAACCAUAGCGGGUGUGCGGCGCCCCUGUAUUUGGGUGUGCCGCUGUCUUCGAACACUUGUCGUGUUGUGUUACUUCCUGGGGCCCUCUUUUUUGGCCCGUAGAUGGACCUAGUUGGGCCGUCCGUUUUCCCAGGAUCAUAAGUCGGCUUGUGUGCGGCGCCGCUUGUCGCUUUUGGCCUGUCAUCUGGCCAUCUAUCCGGCCAGGCGGCCUCUUUAUUUUUUGACUGUGAGGGCUCUAUGGCUUCCUCGUCAAAUUCUGGCAGCAACUUGCGCUUCGGGUAGCUCUUUGUUUGAUGGCCAUUGCCAUAUUUGUCUGCGGUCUUGAGUACUUUGCUCCACUUCAUUCUGAGUAUGUCUUCCGCUGUUUUGAGCUUCCGUUUUUCCUUCUUCAAACUUCUUGCAGUGGCGACGAGUCUUUUGUGAAGGUUCUUAUGCUGUGGUGUUGUGUCCGGACUGUUGAUUGCUCUGUGAAGGGGUUGAUUAUCCGGUUCGUCCUGUUCGUCAUCCGCUGGUUUGCCCUGCUCUAUCGCUGGGUCGUUAGGAAUGCUGCUUUGAUCGAGGCGGGACUUAGGGCGGCGUCUACGUCGCCGUUUUAGUUGUUUAUCGGCAGGAUUAUCCUCUGCCGCGUCCCGUUGUUCCUCGUUAUCGCUUCCCCUUGGGGUGUCCACCAUAUGUAUGUCAUGUGACGAGGUGGCCUUCUAGUGCCCUAUAGGCGCUGGUUCUUGAUUGUCUCCGGCAUCAUCGUCCAUACCGUUGAUGUCUUCGGAGUCGUAGUUUAGCACGUCGGUUAGAUCGUCGACGGUGGCUACGAAGUGGGUGGUGGGUGGGCUCUGAAUUUCUUCAUUGUCCGCGUCCCGACCAUCCUGGCCGUAGUUCGGCCAGCGCUCUCCGGAUAGUGAGAGAUGCUUCAGCGAAUUUAAGAUAUCACCGAAGGGUGAGUGCUGAAAGGUGUCCGCAGCGGUGAAUUCCAUGAUCGGCGCCCAAUCAGAUUCGACUGGCAGGGGCGCAGGAGGUUCGGAGUCCGGCAGGGGGUCCGGCACCUCGGAGUCAUGGGCUUUAUGCGGGACAAGGUAAGUGUUCGGCUCCAUCGCCGUGGAAGUUGCAGCUCCCGAGGCGGUGUCCAGCCAUCCGUCCUCGAUCCGUGCGAUCGGCUCCGGACUAUGGGUCAGAGCGGAUUCGUGUGCAGCCUCCAAGGUGCUGUCCGGCGGCAGAGUUAGGUCGUGCCCGUCGUGGCAGCGCGGCAUGCUUGGCUGUGGCUCAGAUCCAUCGAAGAUCAAGUCCCCGCGGAUAUCGGUCGUGAAGUUUAGGCUUCCAAACCUGACCUGACGGCCAGGGGAGUAGCUUUCGAUCUGCUCCAGAUGGCCAAGUGAGUUGGCCCACAGUGCGAAGCCACCGAAUACGAAGAUCUGUCCAGGGAGAAAAGUCUCACCCAGGACUGCGUCGUUGUCGAUUGAGGCCAUCAAGCCUAUCGGUGACGACACAGAGGAGCUCUCAAUGAAAGCACCAAUGUCGGUGUCAAAACCGGCGGAUCUCGGGUAGGGGGUCCCGAACUGUGCGUCUAGGUGGAUGGUAACAGGAGACAAGGGACACGAUGUUUUACCCAGGUUCGGGCCCUCUUGAUGGAGGUAAAACCCUACGUCCUGCUUGAUUGAUAUUGAUAUUGUGGAUGUUUACAAGAGUGGAUCUACCAUGAGAUCAAGGAGGCUAAACCCUAGAAGCUAGCCUAUGGUAUGAUUGUAAUGGUUGUUGUUGUUGUCCUACGGACUAGAGCCAUCCGGUUUAUAUAGACACCGGAGAGGGCUAGGGUUACAUAGAGUCGGUUACAAUGGUAGGAGAUCUACGUAUCCGUAUCGCCAAGCUUGCCUUCCACACCAAGGAAAGUCCCAUCCGGACACGGGACGAAGUCUUCAAUCUUGCAUCUUCAUAGUCUUGGAGUCCGGUCGAUGAUGAUAGUCCAGCCGAUGAUAGUUCGGCUGAUGAUGGUAGUCCGGCUAUCCGGACACCCCCUAAUCCAGGACUCCCUCAGCCAUGAUUGAAAGAUUUAAAUUCAAACUCAUUUGAAUUUAAUUCAAAUGGGUUUGAACUAGGACUUGAUAAAAGGAAGGUCCAAAAAUGUUCGGAUUUUUGAUGGAGCUCCGGAAAAUGAUGAAAGAAAUUAUGGGCAAGGUUGGAGACCAAGAAUUGAGAUAACAACGGCAUGGGAUAUUUUGCAAGUGGGUUAUGGUUAAUUCCAAAAAAUGGAAUAAUUUUAUUAUAGCUCCCUAAUAAUAUUGAGAGGCUUUAAUAUGUUAUAAAGAGAAAUCACAAGUGAAUCCCCUCGAUUUAAAUGGAUCGAAAAAUCCAUACAAAUUAUUUAGAUGAGUUUUAAAAAUUAAAUGGCAUGAUGGCAUGAUGCAAUGCAAAAGAUGCAAUAAACAAAACAAAUCACACGACGAAACUCGGAGUAGCUGGAAGUCUUCUGGAGCGUCGGUCUCGGGGUGUUACACUGGUCCCCGUGGCGCCGGGACUAGCAUCUCCGUCAGGAGAGCGGUUGCUGGGCCUUCUAGCAGUGGAGCCGAACAGUCGAUCCGCUCCGCCGUCACCACGUAAUCCUGAUUAAAUACACACGAUGACUUAAAAUCCUCCCAUGAGUAUGCUGAGAAAGCUGCAUCUGGUGAUGGUCAGAAAACUCACCGGGUGGGGGAGCCGCGUGACGUGGAGUCUGCGGUCCUCGAAUGUGGGAGGAGGUAUUUUGGAGGCCUUGAAUAGCACCUUCCAUGCGUCCUUGCGUGUCGUGCCGUAAAGCUCUUGAAGUGUCUGGUGUUCAGCCGGAUCGAACUCCCACAGAUUGAAUGCCCGUCUUUGGCACGGAAGGAUUCGGCGGACGAGCAUGACCUGGACCACGUUGACAAGCUUGAUCUUCUUGUCCAUCAUAUUUUUGAUGCAGCUCUGAAGUCCUGUCAGCUCCGCAGGUUCGCCCCAGGUCAGGCCCUUCUUUUCCUAGGAAGUGAGCCGCAUGGGAAUUCCGGAUCAGAAUUUGGGGGCCGCUGCCCAGUUGGCGUCGCGCGGCUUGAUGAUGUAGAACCACCCUAAUUGCCACCCUUUCAUGGUCUCCGCGAAGGAACCAUCAAGCCAGGUAACAUUGGGCAUCCUGCCCACCAUGGCGCCUCCGCACUCCGCUUGUUGGCCGCUCACAAUCUUCAGCUUCACACAAAAUAUUCGUAGCCACAAGAUGAAGUGUGGCUUGAUGCGUAGGAAGGCCUCGCACACGACGACAAAUGCCGAGAUGUUGAGGACGAAAUUUGGGGCUAGAUCAUGGAAGUCCAGCCCAUAGUAAAACAUGAGCCCGUGGACAAAGGGAUGAAGUGGAAAUCCCAGUCCGCGGACGAAGUGGGCGAGGAACACGACCCUCUCAUAGGGUCCCGGAGUCGGAAUGAUCUGCCCUGCGUCCGGUAGCCGGUGCGCGAUAUCUGCGGCCAAGUAUCCGGCCGCCCGGAGCUUCGUAAUAUGCUCCUCCUUGACGGUGGAGGCCACCCACUUGCCUACUGCUCCAGACAUGUUUGGCUGUGCGGAGAAGGUGUGAACUAGGGCGCUGGAGCUCGAGGGUGCGAGAAUGGAUAAGCGAAGGAGGAAGAAGGUCUGGGUAAAAAUGGGGAACCCUUAUCCCUUUAUUGAGGCGACGAAAACGGUGCGCCUCCCCACUUGCCCGUUGAAAAUCGCUUAUUUCCCAAGCGCCACGAUUAAUGGCGCGGUUGGGUUACCCAUACCCGUAUUGAUGAGAAUCCCAUGAUAAGGGGACAUGAUCUCUGCUUCGACAAGACGUGCCGAGGAAACCACCUCGCGAUAUGUGUGGUAGCUAUCUAUGAGAAGACGGUUCAUUAAUGACUCGACCAUGGUGUCGUGUCACGUUAUCUAAAGUUGUCAGCAGAUUAUAUUUGUGGAAUAUUGUUCUCUCUACGGUGGAGUGUGAAAGUCUUCUUGCAGAGCCGGAUACGAUUUAAGUGUUCAAGGUUUACUUUGGAGUAUUCGGAGAUGGAACCCGCCUUGCAAUGCCGAAGACAAUCUGCGCCGGACUUAUCGUCAUUGAAGCCUGGUUCAGGGGCUACUGAGGGAGUACUGGAUUAGGGGGUAUCCGGACAGCUGGACUAUGUACUUUGGCCGGACUGUUGGACCGUGAAGAUACAAGAUAGAAGACUUCGUCCCGUGUCCGGAUGGGACUCUCCUUUCCGUGGAAGACAAGCUUGGCGAUCCGGAUAUUAGAUCUCCUUCUUUGUAACCGACUCUGUGUAAACCCUAGCCCCCUCCGUGUCUAUAUAAACCAGAGGGUUUGGUCUGUAGAGGGACAAUCAUAAUCAUCAUAGGCUAGCUUCUAGGGUUUAUCCUCUACGAUCUCGUGGUAGAUCAACUCUUGUAAUACUCAUAUCAUCAAGAUCAAUCAAGCAGGAAGUAGGGUUUUACCUCCACCGAGAGGGCCCGAACCUGGGUAAAACAUUGUGUCCCUUGCCUCCUGUUACCAUUAGCCUUAGACGCAUAGAUCGGGACCCCCUACCUGAGAUCCGCCGGUUUUGACACCAACACCCACCAGGCAGCGGGCCCUGCUAGUCGGCGGAGAAGCCGGAGACCAGAGACACUGACAACCGGGUCUAGCACCCGGCCAGAUUACCGUUGUACCCCUGGGGGUAGGCCUAUAUAAACCCCCCAGGGCACCCAUGCAAAGGGUUCCCACUCCAUUAGAACUAGCCACUACCUUAGAGCAGGAAGAGAGCUAGCCUUGCCUCCUUCAGCCUCUAGCACACAGCUCAAGGAGUACUAUUGUAUCACUUGUGCCUUAGUGAUCAUGCGGAGACCCCGCAGAGCAGGACUAGGGGUGUUAUCUCCUAGGAGAGCCCCGAACCUGGGUAAAGUGCGCCGGCGUACGUGUCUAUGCCUUAUCCCGCUUCCAGGCACCGGCGACGUUCUACUUGCUCCCACCAUGAUAAGCCAUCCAUUGGCAUAUGUCGCACCCAACCCCCGACAAUGAAAUACUUGAUAUCUUUUAUAAUGGACUAACCGAUGCUUCCAGAGACCACCUGGAUAGUUGUGCUGGUUGUGUUUUCAGGGAAAGAACAGUCGAUAAAGCUGAAUUGCUAUUGAAUAAUAUGUUUACUAAUGAAAACAAUUGGACACUUCCUGAACCAACUCCUAAGCCAACUCCGAAGAAAAGAGGUUUUCUAUUUCUCAGACCUGAAGAUAUGCAAGAGGCAAAUAAAUCUAUGAAAGAAAAAGGUAUUAAAGCUGAAGAUGUUAAGAAUUUACCUCUUGUUGAAGAAAUACAUGGCCUUAAUAUACCACCUAUUGAAGAAACACAUGGUCUUGAUAACCCGACACAGGUAGUAAAGAUAAAUUCUCUCUAUAGAUAUGAUAAAGUUGAAAUCCCGUCUACUAAGUUUGUUAGCCAAUGCUUGGAUGAGUUUGAUGACUUUAUGGCUAGACAAGAAAACUUCAAUGCUUAUGUUGGUAGACAAUUGAAAAGUAAUGCUUAUAUGAUUGGACACUUGAGUGAUUAUAUGUCUAGAAUGAAAGGUGAACUUAAACUUAUUAGGAAACAUGCUUCCAUGGUUACCACUCAAGUAGAACAAGUGCAUAAAGCUCAAAAUGAUUUGCUCAAUGAAUUAAAUAAUAAUAAACAUGACUUUGUUGUUAGAGUAGCAACUAGAGGUGGUAAGAUGACUCAAGAACCUUUGUAUCCUGAGGGCCACCCUAAGAGAAUUGAGCAAGAUUCUCAGACAAAUAAUGUUGAUGCACAUAGUCCUUCUAAGAGGAAGAAAAAGAAAAAUGAUAGGACUUUGCAUGCUUCUACUGAACCUGUUGUAGACACACCUGAGAAUCCCAAUGAUAUUUCUAUUUUUGAUGCUGAAACACAAUCUGGUUAUGAACAUGAACCUAUGAUAAUGUAAUGAUGAUGUUCAUGAUGAUGCUCAACCUAGCAAUAAUAAUGAUGUAGAGGUUGAACCUGUUGUUGAUCUUGAUAACCCACAAUCAAAGAAUCAACAUUAUGAUAAGAGAGAUUUUGUUGCUAGGAAGCUGAAAGUGCAACUAUCCCUAGGUGGUUUUGGUAAUUCAUAACAACAUAUAGCUCAUUGAGCUAAUGCUAUUCCAAGACUAUUAUUUCAGGAAAGCUUAAUGAAUGGCAUGGCUUGGAUGAUGAAAGUGGAUCCCUCAAAAUACUAAUGACAAAGGAUUGGCUCAAGCUCAAAAGCUCAAGACUCUUCAUUUUACAUUUUAGUGAUCCAAGAUCACAUUGAGUCUAUAGGAAAAGCCAAUACUAUCAAGGAGGGAUGAGGUGUUGCUUAAUGAGCCUCUUGCUUCAUGUGCUUGGUGAUAUGCUCCAAAAACCCUCAACUACUUUCUCACAUCCACAAAUGACCUAAACCUAAAGCCAAAGUCGGUCACACCGAUUCUUUCUAUCCGGCGCCACCAAGUUCUAAUGUCAUAGCCACUACCACAAACCCUAGGCAAAUCGGUCCUACCGAUAGGGAUCUCGGUCUCACUGAGAUGGGAUUGUAAUCUCUCUGUUUCCCUUCGUAACGUUUCGGUGUAACCGAAGUGAGCGAUCGGUCCCACCGAGAUUGCAAUGUAAACUCUCUGUUUCCCUUUUGUAACAUUUCGGUCUCACCGAAAAGAGCAAAUCGGUCCCACCGAGUUUACCUGACCAACUCUCUGGAAACCUUAUUACCAAAAUCGGUCUCACCGAGUUUGUGUAAUCGGUCUUACCAAGAUUACGUUAUGCCCUAACCCUAACCAUAUCGGUCUUACCGAGUAGCAUUUCGGUCCCACCGAAAAUCCUAACGGUCACUAGGUUUACUAAAUCGGUCCGACCGAGUUUGAUGAUUUGGUCCCACCGAGUUUGGUAAAUUGUGUGUAACAGUUAGAUUUUGUGUGGAGGCUAUAUAUACCCCUCCACCUUCUCUUCAUUCAUGGAGAGAGCCAUCAGAACAAACCAACACUUCCAACUUACCAUUUCUGAGAGAGAACCACCUACUCAUGUGUUGAGGCCAAGAUAUUCCAUUCCUACCAUAUGAAUCUUGAUCUCUAGCCUUCCCCAAGUUGCUUUCCACUCAAAUCUUCUUUCCACCAGAUCCAAAACCUAUGAGAGAGAGUUGAGUGUUGGGGAGACUAUCAUUUUAAGCACAAGAGCAAGGAGUUCAUCAUCAAUGCACCAUUUGUUACUUCUUGGAGAGUGGUGUCUCCUAGAUUGGCUAGGUGUCACUUGGGAGCCUCCGACAAGAUUGUGGAGUUGAACCAAGGAGUUUAUAAGGGCAAGGAGAUCGCCUACUUCGUGAAGAUCUACCGCUAGUGAGGCAAGUCCUUCAUGGGCGACGGCCAUGGUGGGAUAGACAAGGUUGCUUCUUCGUGGACCCUUCGUGGGUGGAGCCCUCCGUGGACUCGCGCAAUCAUUACCCUUCGUGGGUUGAAGUCUCCAUCAACGUGGAUGUACGAUAGCACCACCUAUCGGAACCACGCCAAAAACAUCCGUGUCUCCAAUUGCAUUUGAAUCCUCCAAACCCUUCCCUUUACUUUCUUGCAAGUUGCAUGCUUUAAUUUCCGCUGCCUAUAUACUCUUUGCAUGCUUGCUUGAAUUGUGUGAUGAUUGCUUGACUUGUCCUAAGAUAGCUAAAAUCUGCCAAACUCUAAAAUUGGGAAAAGGCUAAGUUUUUAAUUGGUCAAGUAGUCUAAUCACCCCCCCUCUAGACAUACUUCAAGGUCCUACAAGUGGUAUCAGAGCUUUGGUCUCCAUUUGCUUUGAUUUCCAUAGCUUUUGGUGGUCAUAGCCUUGGUUUCACAACCUAAGAGAGUAUGGCGUCUAGUGAGGGAAAUUAUCACCGUAGAGGUCCUUACUUUGAUGGUACUAAUUUUGCUAGUUGGAAGCAUAAGAUGAAAAUGCAUAUUCUCGGACAUAACCCCGCCGUUUGGGCAAUUAUUUGUAUUGGCUUGCAAGGUGAAUUCUUUGAUGGGAGAGAGCCGAACCGUGAAGCUAAUGCGGAAGAAUUGAAGAUGCUGCAGUACAAUGCUCAAGCUUGUGAUAUCAUCUUCAACGGAUUGUGUCCCGAAGAAUUCAACAAAAUCAACCUUCUUGAGAAUGCAAAGGAAAUUUGGGAUACUUUGAUUGAUAUGCAUGAAGGUUUCGACUCCGUCAAGGAAUCCAAGUUGGAUGUGCUCCAAAGUCAUCUUGACAAGUUCAAAAUGAAGGAUGGUGAAGGUGUCGCUGAAAUGUACUCUAGGCUUGCACUUAUCACAAAUGAGAUUGCCGGCUUAGGGAGUGAAGAGAUGACCGACAGAUUCAACAUCAAGAAGAUCCUAAGAGCAUUGGAUGGAAAGUAUGAUACCGUGUGCACAUUGAUCCAAAUGAUGCCAAACUACAAAGAUCUCAAGCCAACGGAAGUCAUUGGAAGAAUUGUUGCUCAUGAGAUGUCACUUAAGGAUAAGGAGGAACUUCACAACAAGUCAAGUGGUGCUUACAAAGCCUCAUGUGAAGCCCCCACAUCAUCAAGUGAGAAACAAACCUUCAAUGAAGAAUUGAGCUUAAUGGUGAAGAACUUCAAAAAUUCUACAAGAGUAGAAGCAAAGAAAGAAGCUCCAAGUCAAGGUCUUACAAUGACAAAAGAUCUUCUAGUCGAGAGCAAAAUUGCUACAAUUGUGGGAGACCCGAACACUAUUCCAAUGAGUGUACGGCACCCUACAAAAGAAGAGAAGAUUCUCCAAAAAGAAGAAGCAAAAGAGAAGAUCACCACCAAGAGAGAGGAGGAGAAGAGAUGAUCGUUAUGAACGAAGACCCUCAUGGAGAAGCAAGGAUUCGGAAAGGAAGGACAAGUCAUCGAGGAGCUACACAAAACGAAGACAUCAAGCUCAUGUUGGUGAAUGGGUAUCCGGUUCCGACUCCGACAAUCACUCCGAGAGAAGCUAUCACUCUGACUCCGAAUAUACUCAAGAUGAAGGUGUUGCAGGUCUAGCACUUGUGUCAGCAACCUCCUACGACAUAUUUGAUUCACCAAAUGAAGGAAUUGGAAGAUGCUUCAUGGCCAAAGGUCCAAAGGUAACACAUCCCGAGUAUAUUGAUUUCAAUAGUGAUGAAGAUGACUUGCUUGUGGAUGAUGAUUUACUUGUUGACAACUCUAGUGAUGAAUACUAUGAUGAAACGUCAAUUAAUCAUGCUAAUCAAGAUAAAAUGAAUGACAAUGAUAAGGAGAAGAUUGAGCUUCUAACUAAAGAACUAAACACUCUUAAGUUGGCUCAUGAAACUAUCUUCGAAGAUCAUCGAGAACUUUUAAGAGCUCAUGAGAAGUUACGCUUUGAAAAGCUCAAUCUUGAGCCAGAGCAUGAGUUCUUAAAAGCAAUCAAUGAUGAUCUCCGCAAGAAAAGUUCUUCUUACGUUGCCAAGCGUUUACUCUUAUCUACUUACAUGCCUCAAGUCAAGUCUAGUAACAAGAACAAGAAAGAUACUUCCUCUAGUAGUAACAAUAAUAAUGUCAAAUCCAAUAUUGUUGCUUCUAGUAGUUCUCUUGAUUCCACUAAUGAUUCUCUUAGCCAAGUUACACUUGAGCAAGAAAAUAGCUUAUUGAAGGGAAUUAUAGAGAAAGGUGUUUACAAGAGCCUUGCCGGGAGUAAGCAAUUCGAGGAAAUUGUAUGCAAGCAAGGAAGGCACCGGAAGAAUCAAGGUGUUGGUUUUGAAUGAAAGUUCAAUGCCAAUGGAGUUGAGUGGGAAGAAGAUCAAUACCCCAAGACGAAGUUUGCUCCUCAACAAGAGAAGUAUGAUCCUACUUCCUUCAAAGUAACACAAGCACGAGAUGAUCUUCCACCACAAGACCACAAGAACAAAGGCAAGGACAAGCUUCAAGAAGAGAUUGAUGCAUUUGAAGAAGCACCUAAGGUCUUGGUCAAGUGGGUUCCCAAGACUACGUCAAGUUCUACUUCAUCAAGUACAACUACAACUCCAAGGAUUCCCAUCAAAAUGAUGUGGAUCCCAAAUAAGAAGAACUAGAGAGUUCUUGAGGGUGACUCCGCCAACAUUCUUCACUCAUAUAUUUUUGGCAACAACAAGUACAAUCAACUUCCACAUCUUGCACUAGUUCAAGGAGUCACAAACCCUCAUGUUGGUAAGGCAAGGGACAAGGUAACCUAAUGAUUUCAUGGACAUUAUCUUGUGUGUCCAUCACUCUAUGUCUAUGGAUAUUCUUGUUUGUUCCUUGUGGGACUAACCCAUGUAGGUAUGUUGAAAGUGCAACUCACUCCAAAGGAUUGCUCCAAAUGAUCUACAUCAACCUUGAGCAUCCACAUCUUCAACACCUACAUGAAGUCGUCAUCGACAAAACCCAAGGUUAGUUCAUCCCUCUAAAAGGGGAUCUCACAUCUAGGGGAGCUUAACUCUAAGAAUUGAGUCAAAGCAACUCUAAUGGUGUGAACACAUCAAUGCAUUAUGUAAAAGUGGUAACCCCACUUAAGCUUAAACGAUGAGUAUGACCUAUGAUCAAAUGAUUCCAUUUGACUCCUAAGUCAAUAUACUCAUAUAUAGAUGACCUAGUCAUCACCAAUUGUUUUGAUAGAUGCUAGAAUUGGUUGUGCAUGUUUUGCCACAUAUUUCAUUUGCCAUCUUAUUGUGUGAGCAUGUUGGUGCAUAUUUUACUCAUUCGAGGACAUCCACUUAUUGUUUUGAUUGUUUGGUUUUUUUUAUUUUUGCCAAGUGGAUGGACAAGAAUGCCUAAGAACCUUCUCCAGCUAUCUAUGAUUUUCUCGUCUCAAACUCUAUUCAUGCUACAUCACAAAAUUUGAUCAAGUCAGAUUCGAACCACUCCGUGUGAGGAGCACUCGGAGUCCCCGAUUCGUCAUAGACUUAAACUUCCAAAACUUCUUUGUGAUUCUCGGUCUGACCGAUUCCUCCAUUUUGGUCCCACCGAGAUCACUAAGUCGAUCUAGGUUUUCAAUCUCGGUGCAACCGAUUUGAAUUUUUCGGUCACACCGAGUUGUUGUAACUGUACACAGUUAUGCAUCUCGGUGCCACCGAGUUGUUCCACUCGGUCACACCGACAGGGUCGGGCUAUAUAUAGUCACGGGCAAAAAUUUGGAAAUUUCUCCGAACCUCUUCACCCGCGCAAUAGCUCGCUCUGCCAUCAGGGUCUCCGGAUCGUCUCCUCAUUGCCAGCCACCUCCUGUCGCUGGUCUCUGCCGCCGUUAACGGAUUUCACCCCCGUUGUUGACGCCGUAGCGAGUUCAUCGCCAAGUUAGGGUAUGAACUCGAUCACAAUGCUAUCCUCGUCCGACUCCUAGCACAUUGUGUUCUUAAUGAUUCUUGCCACGAUUGAAACACUCCUAUCCAGUCAAUGCAAUCCUUAGAUUAGAUGAGAUUUGAAAAUUUAGGGUUAGGUUUCCGCCGAAACCAUCUCGGACCCACCGAGUUGAAAAACUCGGUCCCACCGAUUUGGCUAAUGACAUUGCACUAGUAACUCUCGGUCUAACCGAGAAUUGCUAAUCGGUGAGACCAAUUUGUGGACUUUGUGAAACCCUAGCAGUCUCGAUGCCACCGAACUAUGACUCGGUCCAACCGAGUUCAUCAGUUUAGGUUCCAAAACUGCUUCGGUAUCACCGAGUUUGAAAAUCGGUUGAUCCGAAAUGCUUUCUGUGGAAAACUAAAACUAAAUUUUGAAUCAUUCUUUUGCAAAAAAUCUCUGCAUUUUGUGAUGCUCAUCCACUCUAUCUCAUCUAUAACUCUUCACAGGGUCAGCAGUCAGUGAUUUGCAGCAUGUCAGACCAAAGUGAUAGUCAGAACAGGUCAGAAGAGCAGAUGCACAUGAGUGAGGGCACUAGUCCCUCUAGCACUUCAGAUGAAGGCAGCAGGAGCACCCCAAAGCAACCUGCCUAAAGCUGCCACCAGGAAAAGGAGGAAGAGAACCUCAGAUUCUGAGGAUGAGGAUUAUAGAGCAGAAGAGGAUGAGGCUACUUCCAAGAAGGUAGUGCUCAAGAAGGAGUAUGGCUCAGCCAAGACCACUAAACCUGGACUCAAUAGGAAGGUUUCUUCCAAGAGGACACCUAUGUUGAAGGUCAGAGGAUCUACUCAAGUGCCUGAGAAGCAUGAUCCCCAAGAGCCUGCUGCAGAAGGAAAGAAAAGGAAAGAAAGGGUUAAAAAUACCAUAGCCAGAGUUGUUGGGCAACCUUCCAUGAUGGAAGAGGAAGAAGAGGUUGCUGCACCAGCACCCAAGGCACAAAAGCUUAUGGGUGAUGUAAUUAAGUCAGGGGCUGCAACAUCAAAGCCCAAGGAAGCACCCAAAGCUGCCCCCAAGCCCAAGCUUGCACCAAAGAGGAAUACCAGGAGUAUUCCAGCUGCUGAGAAGAACAAGGCCCUAGUGCCUGAAGUUGCUGAUGAGGAAGAUGAAGAAGGACAAGUCCUGAGGAAGCUCAAGCCCAAGAUACCAGACCAUAAUGAUGCCCAUCAUGUGGCUGAGAACAUGAACAUCAGAAGAGACUCAGGGUUGAGGCUAUGGAGGAUGACAGAUCCAUAUGCCACAAGGAGAAGGACUGUUGUUGAUUAUAGGUUCCAUACAAAGGAACAACAGGACUUCUAUGAGACAAUUUUGUUGGACAAGAAGCCCAUAGUGUGUGAUAUGAGGUGGGUCGACUGGACCUACAUGAAAGAAAAUGAAGAACACUAUCCUGGAGUGCAAGACAGUUUUGUUGCAUGUGGAGUUGCAGAUUUUGUUGGGCAAAAGCUCACUAACUGAAAUGAUGAACUCAUUAUGCAAUUCUACUCCACAACACACUUCUAUCCAGAUGGGAGGAUAAUUUGGAUGUCUGAAGGUACAAGGUACCAGUCAACCGUUGAGGAGUGGGCAAAACUGAUCAAUGCCCCAAAGGAGAGUAAAGAUGACUUGGAUGUCUAUGUCAAUAAGAAGAUGGACCACAAUUCCAUGGCACACAUGUACAAGGAGAUCCCAGACAAAGCCAUUGAGACACAUAAGUUUGGGUCAAUCCACUUUCUUCUGUCAAGGUUGCCAACAAUCAACUACAUCCUAAGGCACACUCUGUUGCCUAAGUCUGGUGACCACAACAUGAUUAGAGGGCAUGCAAUCAACAUGUUGCAUUUGUUUGAUGUGCCACAGAAAUUCAAGGUCAUGAGCCUAAUGGUUGAGACCAUUAAGAGGACAGCAGCAGAUCAAAAGAGAAGCUGUGGAUAUGCCCCUCAGAUUCAGGAGUUGAUUAACUCAAAGAUGGGCACAGGAAAAUAUCUAUUGGAUAAGGAACAUUUUCCUCUUUAUCCAGACUUUGAGGACAAUCAGGUUGUCAUGAAUGAGAAUGAACCAUCAUCAGUACAAGCUCAAGAGAAGAAGGAGAAGGCAAGGAAAGAGAAGGCUGCCAAGAUGCCAACUCAAGAGGAGGCAUCUGAGUACUUUCUGAAGAACAAGCAGGAGCAGCUUGGUUACUUGAUAGCAUCAACACUGAGGAUUGAGAAGGGAUUGGCCACCCUCACUCAAAAUCAGUAGAGCUUGGAAAGAAUCAUGGAACAAAAAUUCUAUGAUCUAGAUGUCAAAGUAAUUGAGAUUCAGUCAGUUGUGGAGCAGCUAUAGGAUGACAUGCAGGAGAGGAAGGGCGAGACUACCACUAAUGUAUUUGCCAGAGUGCCUAGAGCUCAGAGGUCAGCUGUAGUGCCUGUGCCAGACACCAGAGCCACAUCAUCUGCACCAGCUACAGCUCCUACAGCUCCAGUGCAACCAGCUCCAGCACCAACUCCUCCAGCUCCCUCUACUUCAACUGAAGCCUUCAUUCUUGGAGUUCUCCGGACACCACCACCUGAAGAUCAAGCCUGAGAGUCGAUCUAGCACUAUGCUUUUUUAUGAACUUUUUGGUAACUUGUUGCCAAAGGGGGAGAAAAAUGUACAGAUCAUAGGCUUCGAGAGAGAGUGUGUUGCUUUUGUUCUCUCUUACUUUGGUGGUUAAACUUUGUUUGCUUUUGAUUGCUUGAGAUACUAUGUUGUUUUUGUGAGACAUUGAUGAUCAUGUGUUUGAUCAUAAGCUACACUUAUGCAUGUUUGAUGAUAUUAUCUUAUCUAUCCAUAUGUGAUCAUUCACUUUGCUUGGUGAUGAAUGCAUGUAUUCAAUCUUUAUCAUUUUGAGCGCUCCACCAAGAUGUAUGUGACAUGGAAGAGUAACCCAUGAGCCUAAUUCCUUGUGCAUUUGCAGACCAAAGCAAAUCUUAAACUAUGCACAAAUUUAGGGGGAGCUCUUGCUUAUCACAUACUUCUCACAGCGACGAUGUUUUUCAAUCUUAUUAUCAUUUGUCGAAGAUUUGAUCUAUAUGUUGUCAUCAAUUACCAAAAAGGGGGAGAUUGAAAGUGCAACUAUCCCUAGGUGGUUUUGGUAAUUCAUAACAACAUGUAGCUCAUUGAGCUAAUGCUAUUCCAAGACUAUUAUUUCAGGAAAGCUUAAUGAAUGGCAUGGCAUGGAUGAUGAAAGUGGAUCCCUCAAAAUACUAAUGACAAAGGAUUGGCUCAAGCUCAAAAGCUCAAGACUCUUCAUUUUACAUUUUAAUGAUCCAAGAUCACAUUGAGUCUAUAGGAAAAGCCAAUACUAUCAAGGAGGGAUGAGGUGUUGCUUAAUGAGCCUCUUGCUUCAUGUGCUUGGUGAUAUGCUCCAAAAACCCUCAACUACUUUCUCACAUCCACAAAUAACCUAAACCUAAAGCCAAAAUCGGUCACACCGAUUCUUCCUAUCCGGCGCCACCGAGUUCUAAUGUCAUAGCCACUGCCACAAACCCUAGGCAAAUCGGUCCUACCGAUAGGGAUCUCGGUCUCACCGAGAUGGGAUUGUAAUCUCUAUGUUUCCCUUCGUAACGUUUCGGUGUAACCGAAGUGAGCGAUCGGUCCCACCGAGAUUGCAAUGUAAACUCUCUAUUUACCUUUUGUAACAUUUCGGUCUCACCGAAAAGAGCAAAUCGGUCCCACCGAGUUUACCUGACCAACUCUCUGGAAAGCUUAUUACCAAAAUCGGUCUCACCGAGUUUGUGUAAUCGGUCUUACCGAGAUUACGUUAUGCCCUAACCCUAACCAUAUCGGUCUUACCGAGUUGCAUUUCGGUCCCACCGAAAAUCCUAACAGUCACUAGGUUUACUAAAUCGGUCCGACCGAGUUUGAUGAUUCGGUCCCACCGAGUUUGGUAAAUUGUGUGUAACGGUUAGAUUUUGUGUGGAGGCUAUAUAUACCCCUCCACCUCCUCUUCAUUCAUGGAGAGAGCCAUCAGAACAAACCUACACUUCCGACUUACCAUUUCUGAGAGAGAACCACCUACUCAUGUGUUGAGGCCAAGAUAUUCCAUUCCUACCAUAUGAAUCUUGAUCUCUAGCCUUCCCCAAGUUGCUUUCCACUCAAAUCUUCUUUCCACCAGAUCCAAAACCUAUGAGAGAGAGUUGAGUGUUGGGGAGACUAUCAUUUGAAGCACAAGAGCAAGAAGUUCAUCAUCAAUGCACCAUUUGUUACUUCUUGGAGAGUGGUGUCUCCUAGAUUGGCUAGGUGUCACUUGGGAGCCUCCGACAAGAUUGUGGAGUUGAACCAAGGAGUUUGUAAGGGCAAGGAGAUCGCCUACUUCGUGAAGAUCUACCGCUAGUGAGGCAAGUCCUUCGUGGGCGAUGGCCAUGGUGGGGUAGACAAGGUUGCUUCUUUGUGGACCCUUCGUGGGUGGAGCCCUCCGUGGACUCGCGCAACCAUUACCCUUCGUGGGUUGAAGUCUCCAUCAACGUGGAUGUACGAUAGCACCACCUAUCGGAACCGCGCCAAAAACAUCCGUGUCUCCAAUUGUGUUUGAAUCCUCCAAACCCUUCCCUUUACUUUCUUGCAAGUUGCAUGCUUUAAUUUCCACUGCCUAUAUACUCUUUGCAUGCUUGCUUGAAUUGUGUGAUGAUUGCUUGACUUGUCCUAAGAUAGCUAAAAUCUGCCAAACUCUAAAAUUGGGAAAAGGCUAAGUUUUUAAUUGGUCAAGUAGUCUAAUCACCCCCCCUCUAGACAUACUUCAAGGUCCUACAGAAGCACGGUAAAUAAAGAGAACCAUGGGUUCAGAAACCCAUGCCUUUUCCUCCCAAACCAUCCAAGAAAAAGGAUGAUGAGGAUUUUGAGCGCUUUGCUGAAAUGAUUAGACCUAUCUUUUUGCGUAUGUGUUUGAUUGAUAUGCUCAAAGUAAAUCCUUAUGCUAAGUACAUGAAAGAUAUUAUCACAAAUAAAAGAAAGAUUCUAGAAGUUGAAUUUCCACCAUGCUUGAUAAUUACACUUUUAAGGGUGGAAUACCAAAGAAACUUGGAGAUCCAGGAGUACCAACUAUACCAUGUUCUAUUAAAAGAAACUAUGUUAAAACUGCUUUAUGUGAUCUUGGAGCCGGUGUUAGUGUUAUGCCUCUCUCUUUAUAUCAUAGACUUGAAUUGAAUAAGUUGACACCUACUGAAAUAUCUUUGCAAAUGGCCGAUAAAUCAACUGCUAUACUUGUCGGUAUUUGUGAGGAUGUGCCUGUUGUGGUUGCAAAUGUUACUAUCUUAACGGACUUUGUUAUUCUUGAUAUUCCCGAGGACGAUAGUAUGUCGAUUAUCCUUGGUAGACCGUUUUUGAAUACUGUAGGGGCUGUUAUUGAUUGCAACAAAGGCAAUGUCACUUUUCAUGUUAAUGGUAAUAAGCAUACGAUACACUUUCCGAGGAAACAACCUCAAGUUCACAGUAUCAAUUCUAUUGGAAAAUUCCAUCGAUUAUUAUUGGAGGUUUUGAAUUUCCUCUUCCUACUGUCAAGAAGAAAUAUGAUAUUCUUAUUAUUGGGGAUGUGCAUAUCCCCGUUGAGGUAACCUAGUGUUAUUCGAAAUUUCUCCGGUUCCAUGUUAUUUGGAAUGAGUUUGUUAACAAGACUUGAUCAACCUUGUUAGUAGAUUCCUUUUCAUGAGCAUGAGAUGGAUGAAGUUAGAAAGCACAACCUUCUGUACUCUUUUAUUUACUUUCUGUUAUUUAGAUUAAAUAAAGCAAAAUAGUAUUUUUCUGUCUGUUUUCUGAUUUAUCCAUGCAAUAAAAAAUACCCCGAACAUAAAAGUUCUCAAAAUGCUCUGAAAAUUAAAUAUGAUUUUUUCUGGAAUAUUUGAGAAUAUCUGGCACUGAGAACAUAGCAGGGGGAGCAAGCACCUGGCCACGUGGGUCCAGGGCGUGCCCACCCCCAUGGGGCACGCCCCCUUGCCUCGUGGGCCCAUGGUGACCCCCCUCCACUUAUUCCUGCACCCACACACUUCAUCUUCCUCCCAAAAAAUCACCAUCCAGCUCAAGCACGAGUUCUAGCUCAUUUUGUUGCCAUUUUCGAUCUCCUUUCUCAAAGCUCCAUUCACAAAACUGCUUUGGGGGAUUGCUCUUUGGUAUGUGACUCCUCCAAUGGUCCAAUUAGUUUUUGUUCUAGUGCUUUAUUCAUUGCAAAUUUUUGCUGCUAAGGUAACCCUGUUCUUGAGCUUGCAUGUCAAAUUUAUAUGGUCCCAAGUAGUUCCAAUGCAUGAUAUAGUCUCUAGGCACUUGUGGGAGUAGUUGCUAUCAAUUUUGUUGAGUUUGGUUCACUUUUAUUUUGAGUUACUAAAAAUUUCAGAAAAUGAUGAAGAGAUUUUUGAGGGGCUCUUCGAGCCAAAGCUCGAAGGAUAAACAAGCCAAGCAGAAUAAAAAGCCCAAGGAUAAUCUCCCUCGCGUCACGGAGGUUUGGCCGUGCGAGUGGCCUUGUGAUGAGUUCUUGAGAGCAGUCGGGAUUCAUGAUGAUUUUUAUUCUUUGGCUGAUAAUGCGGGCCUCACCGACUUCCUCCACGACCAGCUCGAUCAGUAUCUCCUACUCACUAAUACUUUCAUGCAAAAAAUUUACUUUCAUGCUAAGAAAUCACCACCUUCAGUGGAGUUUCAUUUAUACGAUGAGGUUAGGAAGAUGCCACUAUGUGAUUUUUGUGCGGUUUGCAAGAUACCCUUCAGUGGCAUCAUAGAGGAACCACAUCGUAGAGAUGUGGAUGGAUUUAUUGAUAUGAUUACUGUAGAGGAAACAAGGAAGGUUUCGAUGCAAGAAUUACUAGCAUACACUUUCCUGUUCUACGUUACUUUGCAAUAUUUGCUAGUAGAUGCUUAAUUGCUCGCAGGAACUAUGGAAACCUUAGUGUUCCUGAUAUUGUUAUUUUGUGCCAUGCUUUAUUUCAUGAUAACACUGUUAGUCUGGGCGCUAUCGUUGUUAAACGAUUAAGUCUGAACCAUACAAAGGGCCCCAUCUUUGGAGGCAUCUAUGCUUCACGCCUUGCUAAACACUUUAGGAUACCUAUUAGGCAUUAUGAGAAAGAGGAAAAGCUGUUGCCCCUACUUUUCUAGAUUAUAAGAGUAUGGUAGCACAUGAGUUUAUUUUUAAAAAUGAUGAGAAGAUGCUUAAGUAUAAUUUGAGGUUUCAUAAAACUCACAGUGAGACUAUUAUCUUGCCUGCACCCUCUUUGUUUUACUUAUCUUCAGGCACAUACCUCGCCUUGCCGGAGGCUGUUUACGCGUACCGGGGCUAGACAUCAGCUCCAGAGCCUGAGCCAGAACCACCACUUGACCCUUAUAGACCGUCCUUUUAUCAAUGGGAUCCGGAGGAGAUUGCCAGCCAGUGGUACUCAGAUGACACUCCUCAGUACACCAGAGAGAGUAGCUAUGAUCCAUGGGCAUAGACCAACUUAGGCCAAAAUCCUAAGCUUGGGGGAGUACGUAUUUCUCACCGACAUUACAUUCAUGUUCACACACUCAUUCUAGUUGGCGGUGCUCAUACUUUUUCAUUGUACUAUCCAUGCUAGUUUAUUUUCUUUUUCUAGCUUUCUUCUACUGUGUUUGAAUAACCUUAAGAAAAACCAAAAAAAAAAUGUUAUAGCUUUUAGCUAGUUUACUUUCCAUGCCUGUAGUAGUAGUAAUUAAAAGAAAACCCAAAAAUAUUUCUCGUUCUUCUUUUUCUUGUUGGGAGCUUUCCCGUGUAAAUAGUUUUAUUUCUUUUCUUUUCUUUGGGGGUCGAGAGGAGAAGACCAUGAUGAAAAUGUUGAGUGGCUCUUAUAUGCAUUGUUGUUGAUUUAACCAAGAGCCCAUAUUACCUUGUCUUCUCCCUUGAACUGAAUGCUUGCAGAUUCCAGCUUAGUCCAAUGCAUGUGCACUAUUAUUAUUAUCCACACCAUUCGGUCGUGCAAGUAAAAGGCAAUAAUGACGAUAUAUGAUGGACUGAUUGAGAUGAGAGAAGCUAGUAUGAACUCGACCUAUCUUGUUUUUGUAAAUAUGAUUAGUUCAUCAUUCCUGAUUCAGCCUAUUAUGAAUAAACAUGUUUGCAAUGACAAUUAGAGAUUAUAGUUGCUUAUGCCAUGCUUAAUUAGCUAGGAGCUUAUAAUGGUUUACCUUGCGUGCCAACAUGUUAUUAAAAUGGUUGUGAUGUGGUAUGAUAGGGUGGUAUCCUCCUUUGAAUGAUUCGAGUGACUUGACUUGGCACAUGUUCACGCGUGUAGUUGAAACAAAAUCAACAUAGCCUCCACGAUAUUUAUGUUCAUGGUGGAUUAUAUCCUACUCAUGCUUGCACUCAGUGUUGAUUAAUGUUAAUGCAUGUUCAUGACUAUUGUCGCUCUCUAGUUGGUCGCUUCCCAGUCUCUUUCUAGCAUUCACUUGUACUAAGAGGGAAUACUGCUUAUGCAUCCACUUCCAUAAACCCCAAAGUUAUUCCAUAUGAGUCCACCAUACCUUCCUAUAUGAUGUAUUUACCUGCCGUUCCAAGUAAAUUUGUAUGUGCCAAACUCCAACCCUUCAAAUGAAAUUCUGUUUUGUAUGCUCGAACAGCUCAUGUAUCAACUAGGGUUGUCUGUAUCUUCCAUGCUAGGUGGGUUAUUCUCAAGAGGAGUGGACUCCUCUCCUCACUCACGAGAAAAUGACUGGUAACCGGGAUGCCCAGUCCCAUGCUCAAAUCAAAUCAAAAUAAGUGGAGGCACUCGUUGUUUCGAGCAAGCCAUGGAUUGAUGCUUGUUGGUGGUGGGGGAGUAUAAACUUUACCAUUCUGUUUGGGAACCGCCUAUAAUGUGUGUAGCAUGGAAGAUAUCGAGAUCUCUUGGUUGUUAUGUUGACAAUGAAAGUAUACCACUCAAAAUGUUAUUUAUCUCUAUUUCCAAAUCGAGCUCUGGCACCUCUACAAAUCCCUCCUUCCCUCUGCGAAGGGCCUAUCUAUUUAUUUUUAUGUUGAGUCAUCAUCCUCUUAUUAAAAAGCACCUGCUGGAGAGCACUGCUGUCAUUUGCAUACAUUAUUAUUAGUUUGUAUUGAGUAUGACUAUGACUGGAUCUCUUUUACCACGAAUUACAAUGUUUAGUCAGUCCUUGAUCUUCUGAGGCGCUCUGCAUUUAUGUCUAGCAAGAUACCAUCUUGUUAUAUCAUAUUAUGAUUGUUUUGAGAAAGUGUUGUCAUCCGAGAUUUAUUAUUAUUGCUCGCUAGUUGAUUAUGCCAUUGAUAUGAGUAAACAUGAGACCUGAGUGUUAUUGUGAAUGUGGUUAGUUCAUAAUCUUUGCUGAAAACUUGAAUGCUGGCUCUACAUAUUUAUAACAACAAGAGCAAACAGAGUUUGUAGAAGUUUUUCUUUAUCACUUUCAGUUUGUCAACUGAAUUGCUUGAGGACAAGCAAAGGUUUAAGCUUGGGGGAGUUGAUACGUCUCCAUCGUAUCUACUUUUCCAAACACUUUUGCCCUUGUUUUGGACUCUAACUUGCAUGAUUUGAAUGGAACUAAUCUGGACUGGCGCUAUUUUCAGCAGAACUGCCAUGGUGUUAUUUUUGUGCAUAAAUAAAAGUUCUCGGAAUGACCUGAAAAUCCAUGAAGCAACUUUUUGGAUUUAAUAAAAAAUAUUGGCAAAAGAAUCAACAUCAGGGGGCCCACACCCUGUCCAUGAGGGUGGGGGCGCCCCCCCUAGGGCGCGCCCCCCUACCUCGUGGGCCCACUAAUGCUCCACCGAAGUCAACUCCAACUCCAUAUAUUCACGUUCGGGGAGAAAAAAAUUGGAGAGAAGGAUUCAUCGCAUUUUACGAUACAGAGCCGCCGCCAAGCCCUAACUCGAGAGGCCUGAUCUGGAGUCCGUUCGGGGCUCCGGAGAGGGGAAUCCGUCACCGUCAUCAUCAUCAACCAUCCUCCAUCACCAAUUUCAUGAUGCUCACUGUCGUGCGUGAGUUAUUCCAUCGUAGGCUUGUUGGACGAUGAUGGGUUGGAUGAGAUUUACCAUGUAAUCAAGCUAGUUUUGUUAGGGUUUGAUCCCUAGUAUCCAUUAUGUUCUAAGAUUGAUGUUGCUAUGACUUUGCUAUGCUUAAUGCUUGUCACUAGGGCCCAAGUGCCAUGAUUUCAGAUCUGAACCUAUUAUGUUUUCAUGAAUAUAUGUGAGUUCUUGAUCCUAUCUUGCAAAUCUAUAGUCACCUAUUAUGUGUUAUGAUCCGACAACCCCAAAGUGACAAUAAUCGGGACCACUCUCGGUGAUGAGCGUAAUUUGAGGAGUUCAUGUAUUCACUAAGUGUUAAUGCUUUGGUCCGGUACUCUAUUAAAAGGAGGCCUUAAUAUCUCUUAGUUUCCAAUAGGACCCCGCUGCCACGGGAGGGUAGGACAAAAGAUGUCAUGCAAGUUCUUUUCCAUAAGCACGUAUGACUAUAUUCGGAAUACAUGCCUACAUUACAUUGAUGAACUGGAGCUAGUUCUGUGUCACCCUAUGUUAUAACUAUUACAUGAAAUAUCGCAUCCGACAUAAUUAUCCAUCACUGAUCCAAUGCCUACGAGAUUUUCACAUAUUGCUCUUUGCUUAGUUACUUUACCAUUGCCACUGUUACUUUUGCUACUGUUACCGUUACUUCCAUACUACUUUGCUGCAGAUACUAAGUUAUCCAGGUGUGGUUGAAUUGACAACUCAACUACUAAUACUUGAGAAUAUUCUUUGGCUCCCCUUGUGUCGAAUCAAUAAAUUUGGGUUGAAUACUCUACCCUUGAAAACUUUUGUGAUCCCCUAUACUUGUGGGUUAUCAACAGGCAGGAGUCGGUCGAUAUGUGGAGUAAUAGUAGUAGAUGCAGGCAAGAGUCGGUCUACUUGUUGCGGACGUGAUGCCUAUAUACAUGAUCAUGCCUAGAUAAUCUCAUAACUAUGCACUUUUCUAUCAAUUGCUCGACAGUAAUUCGUUCACCCACCGUAAUACUUAUGCUAUCUUGAGACAACCACUAGUGAAACUUGUGGCCCCCGGGUCUAUAUUUUAUCAUAUAAAUUUCCGAUCUACUUUUAUUUGCAUCUUUACUUUCCAAUCUAUAUCAUAAAAAUACCAAAAAUAUUAAUCUUAUCUAAUUGUCUCUAUAGAAUCUCACUUACGCAAGUUACCGUGAAGGGAUUGACAACCCCUUUAUCGCGUUGGUUGCAAGGUUCUUGUUUGUUUGUGUAGGUAUGAGGGACUUUUGAGGAGCCUCCUACUGGAUUGAUACCUUGGUUCUCAGAAACUAAGGGAAAUACUUACGCUACUUUGCUGCAUCACCCUUUCCUCUUCAAGGGAAAACCAAUGCAGUGCUCAAGAGGUAGCAAGAAGGAUUUCUGGCGCCGUUGCCGGGGAGGUCUUCGCUCCAGUCAAGACAUACCAAGUACCCAUCACAAACUCAUCUACCUCCAUUUGCCUCUCGUUUUCCUCUCCCCCACUUCACCAUUGCCAUUUUAUUCGCCCUCUCUUUCUCGUUCGCCUUUUUUCCACUUGUCUCUUGUGUGCUCAUCGUUAUGGCUAGUCCUCCUAUCAUCGUUAGUACUCCCGACCAUGAAGUUCUUAAUUUUAAACAAAGGGAGGGAGAAGAUCUAAAAGAUGCUUGGCAUAGAAUUUGCAAUGCUCAAAAUAGAUCUACUGGGAAGCAAUCCACUUCCGUUCUUCUUCGCAAUUUUUAUCUAGGCAUUACUCCUUCGAAUAGAUGCAUUCUUGAUACCAUUAUCGGAGGGAAUUUUUUGGGUAGCCAUACUUUUGAUGCUUAUAAUGCUAUGUUAGAUUUGUUUGGUCCACCACCUCUUUUGGUUAAUGGAACUAUUUUAACUCUAGAACAUGUGAUGCAAAGGCUUGAAAUUCUUGAAAAUAAAAUUGCCACUGUUGAGUUCAUUGAAAAUUUGGAUAAAAAGAUCCACAACCAAAUUACCCAAUAUGGAUCUAAGGUUGGAAUUACUCUGAAAUUUUUUAAAGAGAAGGAACCUAUAGUUAACGAAAGAAUAGAUCAAAAUUCUACAAGAAUCGGUAAACUUGAGAAUAUUAUUACUAACUUAGGGUCUGCCUUUUCUUUCAUGAAAAAUACUCCAACCCCUCCUACCAAAUUUGCCAAAUUAAUGUAUGUUCCUAAAAAUAAGGGUGAAUCUUCUAGUAAGGAAAAUGCGGAUCUCAAAUCCAUAAGUGUUCACCCAAGUUUUUUCACUAUCAUUAAGGAACCUUUUGCUACAAGUGAAUUUCUUGAUUUAUUGCCUAGGAGUUUAAUCAUUACUAAAAAGAAAGAAACUCCUAAGGGUUAUAAGUGUUCUAUUGAAGAAUUGGAUACCAAAGAUGGCAAUACCUAGAUCUAUUCUCGCUUUUAUGCCUAGCUAGGGGCAUUAAACGAUAGCGCUUGUUGGGAGGCAACCCAAUUUUAUUUUUGUUCCUUGCUUUUUGAUUCUGUUUAGUAAUAAAUAAUUCAUAUAGCUUCUGUUUAGAUGUGGUUUUAUGUUUUAAUUAGUGUUUGUGCCAAGUAGAACCUAUAGAAUAACCUACGGUGAUAGUUAAUUUGAUUCUGCUGAAAAACAGAAACUUUUGCACGCAUGAAAAUAAUUUUAAUAAAUCACAGGAACGUGCUUUUGGGUUGAUUCUUUUUGAAGUAGAUCAAUAGGAAAAUUUCCCUGGAUUUUCUAUUUUGGUAGGAUUUUUAAAGUUCCAUAAGUAUUCUAAAGUUACAUAUUGCUACAGACUGUUCUGUUUUUGACAGAUUCUAUUUUUCGUGUGUUGUUUGCUUAUUUUAAUGAAUCUAUGGCUAGUAUCGGGGGUAUGAACCAUAGGGAAGUUGGAAUACAGUAGGUUUAACACCAAUAUAAAUAAAUAAUGAUUUCAUUACAGUAACUUAUGUGGUGGUUUUUCUUUCUUGCACUAACGGAGCUUAUGAGAUUUCCUGUUGAGUUUUGUGUUAUGAAGUUUUCAAGUUUUGGGUAAAGAUUUGAUGGACUAUAGAAUAAGGAAUGGCAAGAGCCUAAGCUUGGGGAUGCCCAUGGCACCCCAAGAUAAUCCAAGGACAACCAAAAGCCUAAGCUUGGGGAUGCCCCGGAAGGCAUCCCCUCUUUCGUCUUCGUCUAUCGGUGACUUUACUUGGAGCUAUAUUUUUAUUCGCCACACGAUAUGUGUUUUGCUUGGAGUGUCUUGUAUGAUAUGAGUCUUUGCAUUUUAGUUUACCAUAAUAAUCCUUGAUGUACACACCUUUUGGGAGAGACACACAUGAUUUGGAAUUUAUUAGAAUACUCUAUGUGCUUCACAUAUACCUUUUGAGCUAGAUAGUUUUUGCUCUAGUGCUUCACUUAUAUCUUUUAGAGCACGGCGGUGGCUUAAUUUUGUAGAAAUUGUUGAUCUCUCAUGCUUCACUUAUAUUAUUUUGAGAUUCUUUUAGAACAGCAUGGUAUUUGCUAUGGUUAUAAGAUUAGUCCUAGAAUGAUGGGCAUCCAAGUUGGGUAUAAUAAAAACUAUCAUAGGAAGUGAAUUGGAUGCUAUGAUCAAUUUGAUGCUUGAUAAUUGUUUUGAGAUAUAGAGGUGGUGAUAUUAGGGUCAUGCUAGUUGGGUAAUUGUGAAUUUAAGGAAUACUUGUGUUGAAGUUGGCAAGUCCCGUAGCAUGCACGUAUGGUAAAAGUUGUGUGACAAAUUUGUUGCAUGGGGUGCUCUUUUGAUUGCCUUCCUUAUGUGUGGAGGUCGGGGGCCCGCGAUGGUUAACUCCUACCAACCUCCCCCCUAGGAGCAUGCAUAGUAGUACUUUGCUUCGAGGGCUAAUAAAACUUUUGCAAUAAGUAUAUGAGUUCUUUGUGACUAAUGUGAGUCCAUGGAUUAUACGCACUCUUACCUUUCUAUCAUUGCUAGCCUCUUCGGUACCAUGCAUUGCCCUUUCUCACCUUGAGAGUUGGUGCAAACUUCGCUGGUGCAUCCAAACCCCGUGAUAUGAUACGCUCUAUCACACAUAAACCUCCUUAUAUCUUCCUCAAAACAGCCACCAUACCUACCUAUUAUGGCAUUUCCAUAGCCAUUUCGAGAUAUAUUGCCAUGCAACUUUCCACAGAUCCAUUCAUCAUGACACACAUCAUCAUUGUCAUAUUGCCUUGCAUGAUCAUGUAGUUCACAUCGUAUUUGUGGCAAAGCCACCUUGCAUAAAUUUUCAUACAUGUCGCUCUUGAUUCAUUGCAUAUCCCGGUACACUGCCGGAGGCAUUCAUAUAGAGUCAUAUCUUGUUCUAGUAUCGAUUUGUAAUUCAUGAGUUGUAAAUAAAUAGAAGUGGAUGACCAUCAUUAUCAAAGCAUUGUCCCCAAAUAAAAAAAGAAAAAGGCCAAAUGAAAAAAAGGCCAAUAAAAAAGGAAAAAAAAAGAAAGGCCAAAUAAAAAAAGAAAGGCCCAAAAAAUAAAAAAUAAAAUAAAAAGGGGACAAUGUUACUAUCUUUUUCCACACUUGUGCUUCACAGUAGCACCAUGUUCUUCAUAUAGAGAGUCUCUUAUGUUAUCACUUUCAUAUACUAGUGGGAAUUUUUCAUUAUAGAACUUGGCUUGUAUAUUCCAACGAUGGGCUUCCUCAAAAUGCCCUAGGUCUACGUGAGCAAGCAAGUUGGAUGCACGCCCACCUAGUUUCUUUUGUUGAGCUUUCAUAUAUUUAUAGCUCUAGUGCAUCCGUUGCAUGGCAAUCCCUACUCCUCAUGUUGACAUCAAUUGAUGGGCAUCUCCAUAGCUCGUUGAUUAGCCUCGUCAACGUGAGACUUUCUCCUUUUUUGUCUUCUCCACACAACCUCCAUCAUCAUAUUCUAUUCCACCCAUAGUGCUAUAUCCAUGGCUCGCGCUCAUGUAUUGCGUGAGAGUGAAAAAGGCUGAAGCGCGUUAAAAAGUAUGAACCAAUUGCUUGGCUGAAACCGUGGUUGUGCAUGAUGGGAGUAUUUUGUGUGACAAAAAUGAAACAUAGCCUAACUAUAUGAUUUUGUAGGGAUGAACUUUCUUUGGCCAUGUUAUUUGAGAAGACAUGAUUGCCUUGUUAGUAUGCUUGAAGUAUUAUUACUUUUAUGUCAAUAUGAACUUUUAUUUUGAAUCAUUUGGAUCUGAACAUUCAUGCCAUAAUAAAGGAAAUUACAUUGAAAAUAUGCUAGGUAGCAUUCCACAUCAAAAAAAUUAUUUUUAUCAUUUACCUACUCGAGAACGAGCAGGAAUUAAGCUUGGGGAUGUUUGAUAUGUCUCCAACGUAUCUAUAAUUUUUUAUUGCUCCAUGCUAUUAUAUUACCCGUUUUUGAUGUUUAUGGGCUUUACUUUACACUUUUAUAUCAUUUUUGGGACGAACCUACUAACCGGAGGCCCAACCUGAAUUGUUGUUUUUUGCCUAUUUUAGUGUUUCAAAGAAAAGGAAUAUCAAACGGAGUCCAAACGGAAUGAAACCUUCGGGAGCGAUCUUUGUGGAACAAACGCAAUCCAGGAGACUUGGAGUGGACGUCAACAAGCAACCAAGCGGCCACGAGGGUGCCCGGCGCCCCUUAGGGGGUGGGCGCGCCCCCCACCCUCAUGGGCCCCUCGUGGCUCCACCGACCUACUUCUUCCUCCUAUAUAUACCUACGUACCCCGAAAACAUCCAAGAGCACCACGAAAAACUAUUUCCACUGCGCAACCUUCUGUAUCCACGAGAUCCCAUCUUGGAGCCUUCGUCGGUGCUCCACCGGAGGGGGAAUCGACCAUGGAGGGCCUCUACAUGAUCUCCAAGGCCUCUCCGAUGAGUUGUGAGUAGUUUACCACAGACCUUUGGGCCCAUAGUUAUUAGCUAGAUGGCUUCUUCUCUCUCUUUGAAUCUCAAUACAAAGUUCUCCUCGAUCUUCUUCGAGAUAUAUUCGAUGUAACUCUUUUUUGCGGUGUGUUUGUCGAGAUCCGAUGAAUUGUGGGUUUAUGAUCAAGUUUAUCUAUGAGAAAUAUUUGAAUCUCCUCUGAAUUCUUUUAUGUAUGAUUGGUUAUCUUUGCAAGUCUCUUCGAAUUAUCAGUUUGGUUUGGCCUACUAGAUUGAUCUUUCUUGCAAUGGGAGAAGUGCUUACCUUUGGGUUCAAUCUUGCGGUGUCCUUUCCCAAUGACAGCAGGGGCAGCAAGGCACGUAUUGUAUUGUUGCCAUCGAGGAUAAAAAUAUGGGGUUUAUAUCAUAUUGUUUGAGUUUAUCCCUCUACAUCAUGUCAUCUUGCUUAAUGCGUUACUUUGUUCUUAUGAACUUAAUACUUUAGAUGCAAGCAGGAGUCGGUCGAUGUGUGCAGUAAUAGUAGUAGAUGCAGGCAGGAGUCGGUCUACUUGUUGCGGACGUGAUGCCUAUAUACAUGAUCAUGCCUAGAUAAUCUCAUAACUAUGCACUUUUCUAUCAAUCGCUCGAUAGUAAUUCGUCACCCAUCAUAAUACUUAUGCUAUCUUGAGAGAAGCCACUAGUGAAACCUAUGGCCCCGGGUCUAUCUUUUAUCAUAUAAGUUUCCGAUCUACUUUUAUUUGCAUCUUUACUUUCCAAUCUAUAUCAUAAAAAUACCAAAAAUAUUUAUCUUAUCUUAUUAUCUCUAUCAGAUCUCACAUUCGCAAGUUACCGUGAAGGGAUUGACAACCCCUUUAUCGCGUUGGUUGCGAGGUUCUUAUUUGUUUGUGUAGGUACGAGGGACUUUUGAGGAGCCUCCUACUGGAUUGAUACCUUGGUUCUCAAAAACUGAGGGAAAUACUUACGCUACUUUGCUGUAUCACCCUUUCCUCUUCAAGGGAAAAGCAACGCAAUGCUCAAGAGGUAGCAAAGAUCCACAUGCAGCAACGUGGGAAGACAAGCAGUGGAGCAAGGCCGGAGGGGAUACCUGGAGGUCAUCGGGAUGUAAUUAGGUGAGCGGCGGCGGGUGGAAUCUGCCCAUACUGCGGCAGCGAGCAGGUGGCGUAGGCCCUACCGCGUCGGAGCUUGGUCAGAGAGGACAGCGUGUACCGUAGAUCAGAACGUGCUGCCUCGGUGCCGUCGAACGGAGAAACGAUGCACAUCCUCCCUUUCCGCCGGCGGACGAGAUGUGACCGGAUCAGUGACCAACGGUGAGAGAGAGAUAGAGAGAGGCCACCGCAGCCUUGUGUGAGAUACUCUGAAGAGAGAUAAACCAGGCAGGCAGGCUCCAUGGUAUAUAGUGGAGCGGACUACCUUUUUCUCCAUAAUAAUCGUUUUAUAUUCGCCAUUGAGCGAUAUAACUUUAUUUAAAAAUAACGCGCCAACGCAUCAAGUCAAACUUUGUUUCAUGCACGCGUGGUACACGACCUCCUAGGUAAACAACCGCUACACGCAUUCAAAUUAGCACGUGGGCUGCCAUUUCGUAUAGAAAUGAGCUCCACCGUAUACCUGCAUGGGUGUGGCUGGGCACGAAGCAUGAGUACGUGCACGGUGCACCUAUUCUCUUCUUGUAUACAUACACUACCUACGUGGGGUUGUGUGAGAGAGAUACAAACAUAGAGAGAUAUAGUGUGUGGGUUUGUGAGAGUUUUUUUGGGGGGGGGGGUCAAUCAAAAAAUGUAACAUAUGCAAUGUGUGUGAAAUAGAGUCCUGGAUAUAUCAUAUAUAGAGAGAGAGAGGGGCGAUCCACGAGAAGAGAGUGGAGGUAUCAUCGGCUUGAGGUGUCCAUAGAAUCGAAGAGAGGGAUGAUGUGUGUGUGUGUGCGCGCGUGAUCGAUACAGAGUGCCAUUGAAUUUGUGUGUGCCCACGUCAAAGAUAUAGAGUGGCUGGCUUACUGGAACGUGAGAGGGGACAGGUGCAGUUUGUCUCUGUGGCAUGAAUACCUACCUACAGCGCUCGACUAUCGGUGUGUGGUGGGGGGAGGGAGGCCUAAUUAACUAUAGAGGUACAAUGGCUGGUAUCUGUGUGGAGGAGGAGAGAGGCCUACCUCAUGUAUUAAGGGAGAUUGAUCUACCUCAUGUAUUAAGGGAGAUCGAUCAGCAUCCAUGCAUAUGUGUAGGAGAGGAAUAAGGUUGGGAGAGAGACAGAGCUAGAGUGUUGGAGGGGGGUGGUAGUGGAGUUGCUUCUAACAAAUGGUGGGAUAGGCUUGCUAGACAAAUGGAGGGCACACCUGCAAUAUCAAUAAGAGAGGGGAUGACUGCCUGUCUGUGCACGUGUGUGUGAGAGACGGGCCAGAAGGCAUGCACGAAUGAUGAGGGGGGACGAUAUGGCUGUGGUAAGUAGGCGUAACUACAUAGGAAGAUCAAUCGUCCUUUGUCAGAGAAAGGAGAGACAUAACUUGUGAGGUACGUCGAUCGAUGGGGGGGAUAGUUACAGUCGACCUAAAUAUAUGUUGGGAGAUCGAUCGAUAUACAUGCAUGUGUGUGUUAGAAGCAAAUGAGGCACGGGGAGAAGGAUAGAGAAAGAGAGGGAUGCAUCUAGGAGGUGGUGCGAGAGGCAUACUAUAUCGAGGGGGAAGGAGUGUGCGAGUACGAGAUCGAUGAAAAGAGUGGUGGGAAUGAGGCAUGGACGGUGAUAAGAGAAGAGGGGAAGCUUGUGUUUGUGCUAGGCACACCUGGCUAGAGAGGCAUAUCGAUCGAUGCGUGCCAUAAAGAAGGAGCUCGGGGGGCCUACACACAUCGUGGGUGAACGACCUAAAGUGAAAAGACGAAUUUGCAUGAUGGAGCUAGAGAAUGCCGAGGGAGGGUGAGAGGGAUGCGGGCAUGUGCAUGCACGAGAGAAAAUUAGCGCUAGCUAGAAAGAUAAGAGGAUUGUGUGGGUGUCAAAGACGAAUAGAGAUCAUACUUCAGUAUAAAAAGCGAAUUCUGAUAUUUGAAGAAUUUAUCAUAGUGUUUUAAACCGACGCAUGUGUGAAUAUAUAUAACGGUAGUACACAUGGUGUGGUUAUGAACAUGUUAUACUACAUAUAAUAUAUUUUAUCUCCACUCUUAUAAAAACGGAGUUGUUGAUGAUGGUGUGCCUGCCAUCCUGCAAUAUAGGCCGUCCGAUUUAUAUCUAACGGAUAGGAAGGAAACUAUGGUAAUUUUGAAAAAAGAUACCCACACCCCUCUCCAUAUUUGCAAAUUAGGUCUCCCCUUGAUCAUGUUGAUGUUCUCUGGAACGCAUGGGCAUCUUGCUAGUACUAUGAAUAAUAUAUAGAACAUUGAUUAUAAUUUGGGCUAAUGUGUGGCUUUUGCAGCUCAGGUCUAAAUACUUGUCAUAAUGUAGGGGGCGGGGCACUAUACUUUGUGUGAUAAACACGGUGUACGUAUGGAACAUGGUUUAGAUUAUGAAUAUAUAGUUAGUACAUCAAAUGUACUAUUAUUUGGAAUCAACAUCAAGUGUAUUCAAAAAAUAGAAUUCGAGUUCAUGUAGUACACAUAGUUCAUAUCUAUCUCUAUAGUAAUCAUGUGGUGUGUUAUUGAGGUAAUACACGAAUGAUGGUUGAAGUUGGCAACAAUCAUGAUUGUAGAUUCUUAUUGAAAUAGAGAAACGAAUUCAAAUUCAGUUUGAAUUGCAGCGGUAGUAUAGACAUUUGGAAUGCACUAAAAUGUUGGUAUGAGUAGGUUACCUGCAUUAUACACCAAGCGAAAAAAUUUAAUUGCACAUAACAUGGAUUCAUACUCCCUCCUUCCAUCUAUAUAGGGCGUAAUGCGUUUUUUAAGACCGCCUUUGACUAUUGACAAGAUUAAUAGUACAUGACAUGCACAAUGUAAAAUUAUAUCAUUGAAAGGUCCUUUCACAAACAAACUUAACGGUGUGCUUUGUGUAAGUUGCAUGUCAUAUAUUAUUGCUCUAAUAUUUGGUCAAAGUUAGCAUCGAAAAACGCAUUAGGCCCUAUAUAGAUGGAAGGAGGGAGUAGCUUUGAAUACCAUUUGUAUAGUAAAACGGGGCAAGACUCUCUAUUUGUGUGUGUGUGUGAAUAAUUUUAUUUUAUUUUUAUUUUCUUUUUGGUUGAGGGGAGUGUGAAUUGAUUUGGUACAUACAAGAACAAUAUUACACGUUAGGCUUGUCCCUAAAAUUCAACCCGCCCCUUGUUAUAUCCAGAAAAUUCAGAUAUCGUGCUCCCAAAACUGGCGCCUUAACAACCCGCGCCUUGCUAUCCCGAAAAAUUACAACGCGCGCGAAAACUCCCUCCAGCUGCCAAAUCCCGACGCGCGAAAUCCCUCUUCUAACCCUAAGCCGAAAGGGCCACUAGUUCAAAUCGGCGGGGGGUACUUUUGUAAAACACCCUACAUUUUGGACAAGCGUGUCCCUAAGUCAUGGUUCACCCCCUCCCAUCGCCUCCUUUUCGCCAUUCAAAAUCCCAGGACGCCAUAACCUCUCCGCUCCAGCCGCGAAACCCCACCCUCCUCCGUCUGCCACCUCACUGCUACCCAGCCGGAGCCUCUUCCCUGAUGAUGUCGUCUACCGCAACAGCUCGACGUCCCUCGUCCAUCUCCCCGGAUGAGGAUCCGUCGUCCAUCUCGUUGUCCCGCUGGUUCAGCCGCCCCGUCCUCCACCUCCAAGGAGCUGCUCCGACGAUCGCCUCGUCUAUCGUGGCUGCUCCAUCCCCACAGUGUCGCCUUAACCUGCUCCACCGAAACCGCAGCAUUCUCACCGACUCCUCGUACGAAGCCGAGGCCUACUAGGCGCCACCAAAGAGGUUGUACACUCAUCGCAUCGCACCUUCUCCUUAACUCGACCUCCCGGCGCCGACGGUGCUCCAUUCUGCACCCCCAUGGAGCGGCUACCUUGAAGCUGGCGCCGCGGGCGACAUCUCCAUGGCGGCUCUCCCCCAGUGCGAGGCCCCUUCAGCGGUGGCGUCCAUACCAGCCGGAUCUUUUGUUGCUGCUCCGGAUCUCGCUCGCUCGCUCGCGCUUCUACUGCUGCUCUUCCCCUCGCUCGUGUUGCUGCUCUGCUCCGAUUUGCUACACUUCAGUCGACUGAAUCGACUUUUGGGUCAGUCGAUUUUCAGGGGGGUGGGGGGCUCGCCGGAGUUAAGGAAGAACCACCCGCAACAGGUACGGGGGCUCACCGAAGAGAUACCCCACUAUCUAUCUUAGGGUUCAGGGUGGGGGCGGGGGGGCAAGAGGGCUGGUCGAGGCAGCGAGGCAGCGCUGGGGCCGGCAGUUCGACUGUAGCGACCAAACCUCAAAUAGUCUGAUCUAUGUGCAUCAGUGUUAUCCCUGGAUCGGUAAUGCUGACACGCACAGUACUUGAAGGAUUUAUAACAGAGUAGUAAUCACACACUUAUUACAUCGAAUGUCUCAAAAGAGAACUUAUUACAAAAAAUAUGGCUUAAGGCCAUCUAAUAACAAUAACAGCGGAAGGCUUGGAAGAUAAGCGAGUCCAUCAACUCCAACGGCAUCACUGAGUAUAAGACCACGACCUAAGGCACCUUACUCGUCGUCUGAAAAGUCUGCAACAUGAACGUUGCAGCCCAAAAACGGGUCAGCACAUGGAAUAUGCUGGCAAUGUAACACAUAGAGAGUAAUGAACAAAAUAAUGCUAUACUACAUGCACAUAUGGCUGGUGGAAAGCUCUACGGUUACAAUUUUUGCAUAAAGCCAAUUUUUCCCUACAGCAAAGGAAUAAAUUUUAUUUAACUAUCAUGGUGGUUGUUAAACAUUGAGAAGGUUCACCCAACUCAAUCCCAAUUAAGCAUCAUCAUUAAAACCCAACAAUUUAUAUUAAAGAACAUGAUGAGAUUCACAUGAUAAUCCAGGUACUAGAUACUCAAAACGUCCAUAACAGGGGACACGGCUAACCAUGAUUAGUUUGUACACUCUGCAGAGGUUUGCGCACUUUUCCCCGCAAGUCUCGAUCUCCUCCAUUGGAAUUCUCGCACUACAUGAUGUUUGAGAAACGGAUGACCGAGACAUAGUCUUUCAGAAGCGUUUGCACCUUACGAUGGUAGACAGUUACACCUACUUUCCCCUACAUCUACUAGUCUACCACUAUAAGAGUUCACACGACUUAGUCAACUAUGCUAGAGCCCAUAGUAGCUUGUGGCUGCACACGGAAGUUUCUAGCAUGAAUAAUCUCAUGAUCCCUUUGAGCCUGGGUGGCGGUCCAUAGGUGAAUCACACGGUACCCCGGGAUUUCCAAAAAUGCAGGCAACACUGGGUUCCCCAGGUGCCUCAAUCCACCCAGAUGUGAAUUUAAGUUGCCACCUUAUGUAAACCAUUAAUUCACAAUCUCACAUCUGUCAUGGAUACACUCACCCAAUCCACGUCUACUAGCAUAGCAUAGCAAUAGAAGCAAACGUAGAAGUAACUCCCAAAGGUUUUGAUAAUAAAACAGGUAAUAGGUUCUACCUCAUCUACUUCCCAAAACCCACAUAUUAAUCAGAUCCUAAUCAUGCAAUUGUUUCAGGAUUGAUCUAAUGCAAUAAAACUGGGUAGUAAAGAGGUAUGAUCAAAGUGUCACUUGCCUUGUUGAUGAUCCGUGAAACCUAGAGACUCGUAGUAGCAUUCGGCGCACUCCGGGUACUCUAUCGCAAACAAACAAGCAUACAAUAAGCACUCAUCUAAUGCAAGGUAAAACUCAAAUAAGAGAUCUAACCAGAAAUUUCAACUUAAGAACUCCGGUUUGCAAAAAGAAUCAAAUCAAACGAAGAACGAAAGUCAAACGACGAAAGAAACCAGCUUCAUUUACUAAUCUGGACCUAAGUCAAAUUUUACAGUAGUAAAAACUUGUUAGACUUGGUUAAACAGAAAGAGGGUUUUGAGAUGAAACUACAGGACGCUUGAAUCGCCUGAUUCCGAUAAACGAGUGAAAAGUUAUACUAAAACGAAAAUCGGAUGAGAAAUCACGAUCGGAAAUAAUCGCGGAAAAUCUGAGAAAAAGAAAAAUGGACGAACAGGCUAACGAACGAACGUUCGCUGUCUGCGGCUAAACGAUGAAAACCGUUUGUUAAAGCGAACGUACGGACGAACGUCUGUUAAAUAACUAAACCAGAAAAACCAAUGAACCAAUCUAAAUAAAAAAAUGGAUCUAGGGUUCUUAAAAAACCGAUCGUUUUUAAUAAAACCGGCGGCGGCUGCCUCGGGUUCGGCGGCUCCCGCGAGGCGGCGAGGGGCGGUGGGGUCCGGCGGCUCCAGCGGCGAGGGGCGGCAUCGACGGCGGCGGGCGGUGGNNNNNNNNNNNNNNNNNNNNNNNNNNNNNNNNNNNNNNNNNNNNNNNNNNNNNNNNNNNNNNNNNNNNNNNNNNNNNNNNNNNNNNNNNNNNNNNNNNNNNNNNNNNNNNNNNNNNNNNNNNNNNNNNNNNNNNNNNNNNNNNNNNNNNNNNNNNNNNNNNNNNNNNNNNNNNNNNNNNNNNNNNNNNNNNNNNNNNNNNNNNNNNNNNNNNNNNNNNNNNNNNNNNNNNNNNNNNNNNNNNNNNNNNNNNNNNNNNNNNNNNNNNNNNNNNNNNNNNNNNNNNNNNNNNNNNNNNNNNNNNNNNNNNNNNNNNNNNNNNNNNNNNNNNNNNNNNNNNNNNNNNNNNNNNNNNNNNNNNNNNNNNNNNNNNNNNNNNNNNNNNNNNNNNNNNNNNNNNNNNNNNNNNNNNNNNNNNNNNNNNCGAGGCGACGGUGGCCAGAGGCGGCGGCGGCGACAACCGGCGGCAGCGGGGCGCGGACGGCGGCUAGGGUUUCAAUGGUGGCGGGCUGGGCUGGUGAUGUGGGCUUCGGGCACCGGGGCGGUGCUGCUUAUAAAGGCCCCCCGGGCGGAGUCCCGCUCGGGUACGGCCCGGAGUCGGUUCGUUUUUUUAAACAAUUCGGACAUGCAGAAAAAGAAAGAAAAGAAAUACUAAACGGACUCCAAAAAUCCCGAAAUAAAUUUUCCCCAUCCUCUAAAAAUAAGUCGGACAAGAUGAACAUUUAUUUGGAGCCUAAAUGAAAUUUUGAAAAACGCGCAUUUUUCCUAAAUUCAAAUAAAAUAGCGAUAAACUCUGAAAUAAAAUCUUAUUUGAUUUUAUUAUUAAAUCCUCAAUAUUUAUUUAUUUUGGGAAAGUCAUUUUAUUCCCUCUCUUUUAUUUUUGUAUAAGAAAUAUUCAAAGAUAAAAUAAUUAAAAUCAAAUGAUCCUAUUUUCAAAAUUUGAGAAAACUCAAAUAUGAAAAUAAUGAAAUCUCCAACUCUCUCCGUGGGUCCUUGAGUUGCGUGAAAUUUCUAGGAUCAAGCCAAAAUGGAAUAAAAUAUGAUAUGCAAUGAUGAUCUAAUGUAUAACAUUCCAAAUUGAAAAUUUGGGAUGUUACAAACCUACACCCCUUAAGAUGAAUCUUGCCCUUGAGAUUCGGGUUGGCUAGAAAAUAGGUGAGGGUGGUCCUUCAGUAGAUCUUCCCCUCGCUCCCAGGUGGCUUCAUCCUUGGUAUGGUGACUCCACUGGACUUUGCAAAACUUGAUAACCUUGCUGUGCGUGACUCGGCUGGCAAAUUCGAGAAUCUUAACUGGUUUCUCCUCAUAGGUCAAAUCACUAUCCAGUUGAAUCGCUUCCAGUGGCACUGUAUCUCUCAACGGUAUCUCAGCCAUCUCCACAUGGCACUUCUUCAACUGGGAAACGUGGAACACAUCAUGAACUCUUGGCAAUCCUUCGGGCAACUCCAACUUGUAGGCAACUUCUCCCAUACGCUCCAAAACUUUGUAUGGUCCCACAAAACGUGGCGCUAACUUUCCCUUAACUCCAAAAUGCUUAACUCCUUGAAGUGGGGAUACAUGAAGAUAAACUCUGUCUCCGACUUCGUAAACUAUCUCCUUGCAUUUAGAAUCUGCAUAGCUCUUCUGCCUGGAUUGGGCUAUCUUGAGCCUAUCGUGAAUCAACUUCACCUUCUGUUCAGAUUCUUUAAUCAAAUCUGGCCCAAACAACUGACGGUCUCCAACUUCAUCCCACAACAACGGUGUCCUGCACCUCCUCCCGUACAAAGCUUCGAAAGGGGCCAUCUUCAAACUGGAUUGAUAAUUGUUGUUGUAAGAGAACUCUGCAUAUGGCAAAUUAUCAUCCCAAGUAGAUCCAUAAUCUAGCGCACAUGCUCUCAACAUGUCCUCCAGAAUCUGAUUGACUCUCUCGGUCUGUGGAUGAAAGGAUGUACUGAACUCUAGCCUCGUACCCAAAGUUUCAUGCAACUGAUUCCAGAACUUUGAGGUAAACUAGGUUCCUCUAUCUGAUACAAUGGUCCUUGGAACACCAUGCAGACAUAUGAUCCUAGUCAUGUAUAUCUUUGCCAACUUAGCACUGGUGUAAGUGGUCUUCACUUGGAUGAAAUGAGCUACCUUCAUCAAACGAUCGACUACAACCCAUAUUGAGUCAUAGCCUGAACGAGUCCUGGGCAAUCCUGUGAUAAAAUCCAUGCCUAGCUUAUCCCACUUCCAUUCGGGUAUCGGCAAUGGCUGUAGCAAUCCUGCUAGCUUCUGAUGCUCUGCCUUCACUCUCUGACAUACAUCACAAACUACUACAUACUCCACAAUAUGUUACUUCAUUCCGGUCCACCAGAAAGUGUCCUUCAAAUCCAAAUAUAUCUUGGUAUUUCCUGGGUGAAUCGAAUACAGCGAAUCAUGGGCCUCUUGUUGAAUCAACUUCCUGAUCUCCGGAUCAUUAGGCACAUAAACGCGGUCCUCAACCCAUAGGGUAUCAUGCUCAUCCUCACGAAAUCCUUUAGCCUUUCCUUUGCUCAUCUUCUCCUUUAUCUCGGCAAUCUCCUUGUCUGCCUUCUGAGCUUCUCUGAUCUUAUCCAUCAAAGUGGACUGAAUCUCCAAUGCUGCUACAUAGCCUCUCAGGACUAUCUCCAAGCAUAGCUCGUGAAGAUCCUCGGCUAACUCCUUAGGUAACUCUCCGGUCAUGAGUGUGUUGACAUGGCUCUUGCGGCUCAACGCAUCGGCUACUACGUUAGCCUUUCUGGGUGACAAUGCAAUCUCAUAUCAUAAUCCUUAAUGAGUUCUAACCAUCUCCUUUGCGUGAGAUUCAACUCCUUCUAUGUGAAGAUGUACUUCAAACUCUUGUGAUCCAUGUACACCUCACAAUGGUUUCCGAUAAGAAAAUGUCUCCAUGUCUUCAAUGCAUGCACUACGGCUGCUAACUCCAAAUCAAGUGUAGCAUAAUUCAACUCAUGGGGCUUAAGCUGUCGUAAGGCGUACGAAACAACUCUUCCCUCCUGCAUAAGCACUGCUCCAAGUCCUCGACGUGAAGCGUCACAAUACACCUCAUAAUCCUUGCGCUGAUCUGGCAGAAUCAACACUGGUGAUGUAACCAAACGUUUCUUCAACUCCUGGAAACUAGCCUCACUUUCCUUAGCCCAACUUGGUGUCCUUCUUCAACAACUCUGUCAUGGGCUUCGCAAUCUUCGAGAAAUUCUCAAUGAACCUCCGGUAGUAUCCUGUGAGUCCAAGAAAACUCCGGAUCUCUCCAACUGUCGUUGGGGCUUCCCAGUUUGUCAUAGUGACAACUUUGGUGGGGUCUACUGCUAUUCCUUCUCCGGAUAUAACAUGUCCGAGAAAUCCAACUUCCUUCAACCAGAAUUCACACUUGCUGAACUUGGCAUAUAACUGAUGUUCUUUGAGCUUCCCAAGUACCAAACGCAAAUGCUCCUUAUGCUCCUCUUCAUUCUUCGAGUAGACCAAAAUAUCAUCAAUGAACACCACGACGAACUUAUCCAGAAACUCCAUAAACACCUUGUUCAUCAUGUUCAUGAAAUAGGCAGGUGCGUUAGUCAGACCAAAUGUCAUAACGGUAUACUCAUACAGCCUGUACCUGGUGGUAAAAGUUGUCUUUGGUAUAUCCUACUCUCGAAUCUUCAGCUGGUGGUAUCCUGAUCGUAGAUCGAUCUUGGAAAAUAUCUUAGCUCCUUGCAACUGGUCAAAUAGAUCAUUGAUCAUCGGCAGUGGGUACUUGUUCUUGAUUGUCACUUCAUUCAAUCCUCGAUAAUCAACAACCAUUCUCAAUGAUCCAUCCUUCUUCUCCACUAGAAGCACUGGCGAUCCCCAAGGUGAAGAACUUGGGCGAAUAUAGCUUGUAUCCAGUAACUCCUUAAUCUGCUUCUUAAUUUCCUCCAAAUCUUUUGCGGGCAUCCUAUACGGUCUCUUAGAUAUCGGCCCUGUGCCUGGCAAAAGCUCAAUCAAAAACUCAAUGUCUCUAUCCGGUGGCAUGCCUGGCAACUCUUCCGGAAAUACGUCAGGGAAAUCCUUCACCACUGGUACUUCCUCUUGUACAACUCCUGAUAAGGAAUUCACUUGAGUCCUCUUCGGCUCGUGCCGAGAUACAUACUUGAUCCUUCUUCCUUCUCGGGUGGUAAGCAAAAUCGACUUACUGGCGCAAUUGAUGUUUCCUCCAUACAUUGAUAGCCAAUCCAUACCCAGAAUCACAUCCAAACCUUGUGACUCCAAAAUGAUUAAAUCCGAGGGGAAAACAAGCCUAUCUAUGGUCAAUGGCACUUGAAAACAUCCUUGACUGGCCAUAUACUCCGCUCCUGGUGAGCUUACUAACAUAGGUGUUCUAAGAACUUUGGUGGGUAGUUUAUACUUAUCCACAAAUCCCCUUGAUAUAUAUGAAUGUGAUGCACCAGUAUCAAAAAGAACGAUUGCAGUAAAUGACUUAACCAAAAACUUACCUAUUACUGCAUCUGGCUGGGCUUCAACCUCUUCCACGUUAACGUGGUUCACCUGUCCCCUGUUGAAAGGGUUCGGUUUCUUCCCAGAGCUUCCAUUUCCAUUUACAUUCUUAGCCUCAGGACAUUCAUUGGCAUAAUGUCCAGUCUUCUGACACUUGUAGCAAGUUACGUGGCUCAAAUCCUUCUUAGCUGGGGUUGAUGGGUUGGUACGGUUAUGGCCGUUGCUUCCUCCAUUCCCAUUACCAUUCUUGGGGCCAUUAUGGUUGUGUGAGCUCCCUCCUCCAUGGGUACGCUGAAAAGGUCCUCCCGAGUUUGGGGUAAAACGAGGUUUCUGUUGAGCUCCAGAAUUGUACUUCCCUUGUCCAUACUUCCUCUUGCGGUUGUCAAUCUGCUGCUGCUUCCCUUCAAUCAUGAGAGCUCAGUCUACCAACUCCUGGUAAUUGUUGAAGGUUGCUACCAUCAACUGCAUGCUCAGCUCAUCAUUCAGUCCUUCCAGAAACUUCUCCUGCUUAGCUGCAUCCGUAGCAACAUCAUCUAGGGCAUAACGUGCUAGCUUACUAAAGUCAUCCACAUACUGGCCAACUGUACGCCCUCCUUGGCGCAAGUUGCGAAACUCAUGCUUCUUCAUGGCCGUAGCUCCUGCUGAAACAUGAGUAGUACAGAAAGCUUGCUAAAAUUGGUCCCAUGUGACAGUGUCGAUGGGAUAAGUGGUUGUGAAAUUCUCCCACCAUGAUGAUGCGGGUCCAUCAAGCUUAUGUGCGGAAAAACGCACCUUCUCCGCAUCUGUGCAUCCUGCAGUGGUCAACUCCCUUCCCAUCUUACGGAGCCAAUCAUCUGCAACUAUCGGCUCGGUGCUACUGGAUAACACCGGCGGAUUCAGCCUCAAGAAACGGGCUAAAUGAUCAACAGGUGGUGGUGGUGGUGGGUUGUUGUUGUUGUUGUUCCCCUGAUUCUGAUUCUGGACUAGCAUCUGCAUCAAUGCAUUCUGCUGCUGGAUCAACUGAGUGAGCUCCGGUGGGAAAGCAAAUCCAUUGUCACGUCUCGGAGGCAUCUGAGGGUUUAGAAAAGAUGAGAAUAUAGAAUAGAAUGAGGUCUAGAGAGAAUAACACUACCCAUAUGCACAUGAGACAAAUGCAAACAAUAUCACUUCAUCAAUUCAAACAAGGGCAUAUAACGGUCUAACUAUCGUUACAAAAGUGCUCAGACUAUACUAUAUACAUGGGGGAAUACUACUACUGUUAUGGUGGUCGACUAGAAAAAUUGAUCGGUCGAAGACUCCAUGAUAUCUGCUCCAGCUUCAUCAACAAAGUCAUCAUCGCUAUCGUUUGGGUCCGAAUCAGUGUCGUCGAUGAUGAUGUAGUUCUCCGGGCAAGUGCAAUCAUCGUCUUCUCCUCCAGUCGCGAGGAAUCCCAUGAAUACUUUUAGCUUCUUCUUCAGAUCAUCAUUGUUCUCCACGAGUGUCGUCAUUUCCUCCUCAUAUCCAUUGGGUGUAGACUUAAGUUCUUCUUCCAGCUCCAUGAUCUUGGUCAAUGCCUUCUUCAGAUCUAUCAUGCCUGCGCACAUCUGGUUCUCCUGGCGACGGAUGUGUUGGUUUAGCUCCUGGAUGAAAGCUGCAAUUGAUCUAUCCUUCCUGGUACUGAUCAUCUCCCAGUGCUCAUCUCGACGCCCACAAAUCUGGUAAAAUAGUAUCCUUGAGAUCCUUGUGGUAAACUUCUCCAAUGCGUCCCAUGGUAAUGUGGGCUGCCAUGCCCUUUCCUAGACUCCAGGUUGGUGCAUCAAAGGAAAACUCUAUGGGCUCAGUGACGGGCAUGAACGUCCUUCCUGGAACUUGAACUUGAAUCAUCCAAUGCUCCUCUUCUGGUAAAGUGGCGAUGUAGGUCCCGGUGAAGCUUGGUACUCCGAUGUUCAGGUAUCUAGUGACUUCCUUCAAGUGGCGUCCAAAAGGUGUAUCUUCAUCCGGUUGUGUGAACUUGUUCCUUGCAUCCGCCAUCCUAAAAGAGUAGAAAAGAAGAGGAGUUGGAAAUGAGAAGAGAGUAGUGAUCUAGGGCUUUAGCUUAGUGGCUGUGUCCUACAAUAAUGCUAUACUACAUGCAUAUAUGGUUGGUGGAAAGCUCUACGGUUACAGUUUUUGCAUAAAGCCAAUUUUUCCCUACAGCAAAGGAAUACAUUUUAUUUGACUAUCAUGGUGGUUGUUAAACAUUGAGAAGGUUCACCCAACUCAAUCCCAAUUAAGCAUCAUCAUUAAAACCCAACAAUUUAAAUUAAAGAACAUGAUGAGAUUCACAUGAUAAUCCAGGUACUAGAUACUCAAAACAUCCAUAACCGGGGACACGGCUAACCAUGAUUAGUUUGUACACUCUGCAGAGGUUUGCGCACUUUUCCCUGCAAGACUCGAUCUCCUCCAUUGGAAUUCUCUCACUACAUGAUGUUUGAGAAAUGGAUGACGGAGACAUAGUCUUUCAGAAGCGUUUGCACCUAACGAUGGGUAGACAGUUACACCUACUUUCCCCUACAUCUGCUAUUCUACCACUAUAAGAGUUCACAUGACUUAGUCAACUAUGCUAGAGCCCAUAGUAGCUUGCGGCUGCACACGGAAGUUUCUAGCAUGAAUAAUCUCAUGAUCCCUUUGAGCCUGGGUGGCUGUCCAUAGGAGAAUCAUACGGUACCCCGGGAUUUCCAAAAAUGCAGGCAACACUGGGUUCCCCAGGUGCCUCAAUCCACCCAGAUGUGAAUUUAAGUUGCCACCUUAUGUAAACCAUUAAUUAACAGUCUCACAUCUUUCAUGGAUACACUCACCCAAUCCACGUCUACUAGCAUAGCAUAGCAAUAUAAGCAAGCGUAGAAGUAACUCCCAAAGGUUUUGAUAAUAAAACAGGUAAUAGGUUCUACCUCAUCUACUUCCCAAACCCCACAUAUUAAUCAGAUCCUAAUCAUGCAAUUGUUUGAUGAUUGAUAUAAUGCAAUAAAACUGGGUAGUAAAGAGGUAUGAUCAAAGUGUUACUUGCCUUGCUGAUGAUCCGUGAAACCUAAAGACUCGUAGAAGCAAGCGGUGCACUCCAGGUACUCUAUCACAAACAAACAAGCAUACAAUAAGCACUCAUCUAAUGCACAUGUAAAACUCAAAUAAGAGAUCUAACUAGAAAGUUCAACUUAAGAACUCCUGUUUGCAAAAAGAAUCAAAUCAAACGAAGCAACGAAAGUCAAACGGCGAAAGAAACAAGCUUCGUUUACUAAUCUGGACCCAAGUCAAAUUUUACAAUAGUAAAAACUUGUUUGAGUUGGUUAAACGGAAAGAGGGUUUCGGGACAAAACUUCAGGCGCUUGAAUUGCCUGAUUCCGAUAAACGAGCGAAAAUUUAUACUAAAACGAAAAUCGGAUCAGAAAUCACGAUCGAAAAUAAUCGCGGAUAAUUCGAGAAAAAGAAAAACGGACGAAUAAGCUAACGAAUGAACGUUCGCUGUCUCCGGCUAAACGACGAAAACCGCUCGUUAAAACAAACGUACGAACGAACGUCCGUUCAGUAACUAAACCGGAAAAACCGACGAACCGAUCUAAAUAAAAAAACAGAUCUAGGGUUCUUAAAAACGAUUGGUUUUUUUAAAAAAACGGCGGCGGCUACCUCGGGUCCGGCGGCUCCGGCAAGGCGGCGAGGGGCGGCGGCGUCCAGCGGCGGAGGCGUGGGGCAACGGCAUCGGCAGCGGUGGGAGGUGGCGACGGGGGGCGGCGGGGCGACGGCAAGCAGAGGCGGNNNNNNNNNNNNNNNNNNNNNNNNNNNNNNNNNNNNNNNNNNNNNNNNNNNNNNNNNNNNNNNNNNNNNNNNNNNNNNNNNNNNNNNNNNNNNNNNNNNNNNNNNNNNNNNNNNNNNNNNNNNNNNNNNNNNNNNNNNNNNNNNNNNNNNNNNNNNNNNNNNNNNNNNNNNNNNNNNNNNNNNNNNNNNNNNNNNNNNNNNNNNNNNNNNNNNNNNNNNNNNNNNNNNNNNNNNNNNNNNNNNNNNNNNNNNNNNNNNNNNNNNNNNNNNNNNNNNNNNNNNNNNNNNNNNNNNNNNNNNNNNNNNNNNNNNNNNNNNNNNNNNNNNNNNNNNNNNNNNNNNNNNNNNNNNNNNNNNNNNNAAUUCGGACGUGCAGAAAAAGAAAGAAAAGAAAUACUAAACAGACUACAAAAAUCCCAAAAUAAAUUUUCCCCGUCCUAUAAAAAUAAGUCGGACAAGAUGAAAAUUUAUUUGGGGCCUAAAUGCAAUUUUGAAAAUGCGCAUUUUUCCUAAAUUCAAAUAAAAUAGCGAUAAACUCCGAAAUAAAAUCUUAUUUGAUUUUAUUAUUAAAUCCUCUAUAUUUCUUUAUUUUGGGAAAGUCAUUUUAUUCCCUCUCUUUUAUUUUUUAUAAAAAAUAUUCAAAGAUAAAAUAAUUAAAAUCAAAUGAUCCUAUUUUCAAAGUUUGAGAAAACUCAAAUAUGAAAAUAAUGAAAUCUCCAACUCUCUCUGUAGGUCCUUGAGUUGCGUGAAAUUUCUAAGAUCAAGCCAAAAUGCAAUAAAAUAUGAUAUGCAAUGAUGAUCUAAUGUAUAACAUUCCAAAUUGAAAAUUUGGGAUGUUACAUCGACCGGUGGUGGCUGGCGGCUCAGGGGGGUGCAGGUUGAAGAUGAAUUGCAGGCCCUCCCUAAACUACAUGUCAAGUGCCUCUCUGCUACCAUUGCAUUCAGUUUCGACGGUAACAUUCAGAUACCACAGUAAAUUUCAGUUUCGAUAGUUAAGUUUAGAGUCAACAGUUUUUACCUCAUCUGUUGUAGUCAGGUGGUUUUUGGUGAUGUAAAUUUUACAUCUAUUUUACAUCAUCUAUUGGAGAUGAUAUUAGAAUCCCACUUGAGAUUAACGAUGACUGUCUUGUGCUGCUUCAGCCUUGACGUCUUAUGGCUCACCGGAGCUGCUCCAACGACAGAAUGAUCCAUCACAAUAGAGCAGUGCCCUGGACGCCGUCUACCGAUUCCUCAGAUCUUCCUCCACACCUCCGACAGCCACCUCUGCCUCAACUGCUUCAGCGACCAACCCAAUGAUGUUGAGGUCGACACGGCUACGACAAAGAGGUUGUACACUUGUUGCAUCACUUAUUACUAUACAUUCAUGUCGAUCCAUUAGGGCUAUUUUGGUUCGACGAAAAAACAUAACAAUAGGGAAUUUUCCAAUGGCACUCUAUUAUUCAAUUAUUCAUGCAUUUUGUUGAAAGGAAUGAAGCAAAACAUCCACUUGGACCUACUUUUCAAAAUCCUAUGCAUGAAAACAAGACCAACUGCAUUAGUGGCAGAAUAACAUUCUAACUGUACACGCUUUCAUAUGGUUUCACUUUAUUUUGGCCAUGUUUCUUUGCAUUCCUCUGCCCUUCCAAUUCCUGUAAACCAAACACCCAAGUUGACAGAAAUCAUGUGUUUACAAAUGCUCUGUUUACCAUGUGCAUUCCUAUCCUAUUCCGGUGUUUUUCCUAUCCUUGCGUUUUUAGAAUCAUGCAAGCCAAAUGAGCCCUUACAGAAUUACUUCAAUUACAGGUAGGUCCUUCGAAGGGAACUUUGUGUGGUUUGUCCUGCUCCUGCCGCGACAUCGUCCACCUCACCUGAGCUGCUCCAUCAACAGAAGCAUCCACCAAACCAGACAUCACGACUCCUGACCGUCUUUCGCCGCCUCAGAUCUCCUUCCCUGUCGCCGGCACCCACCGCAACAGCAUCACCAUCAUCGACUCAGCAAAUGAACCUGAGGAGUAGACGGGUCCAUAAUAGAGGUCACACUCUUUUGUUUCUUUUUAUGUUAUGCAUUGCUUAAAAUUACCUGCUGCUUUAUCGUCAUGUUCACCUCUUGGACUCCAAGUCAGGUCCAAAUUAAUAUUCAAACUUGAGUUCUAAAUUAGUUGUGAGGCACAUAUCAAGGCAAUAAUGAAUAGUAUGUCUGUCUAAUAUCUGGUUCACCUAGGGUAUGCCUAUGUUGUUCAUCUUGGGUGGGAAACAAAUAGUAAAGCAAUCAUCAUAUGUAUUUUUAUUAAAUUAAAGCAAUCAUCAGCCUGCUAUCAUUAUUUUUGGAUCCAUCCACUGGUUGUUAGCAUCACUCUAAAUUUCUGCAUGCUCUCCUUACAUAAUCUCACCAUAAUUUUUUCGUAUGCAUGUCAGAUAUUAUACACAGUCAUGGUGAACAUGUAGAGAAAAAGAGAAGACUUUUGCGCGGCAAUACAAUGUCAUGCAGACAUCGCUCCAUGGUGGGUUCAAUGGCAAACCCUCCCCACCCCUCUCCAGAUUGUAAUCUAGAGGAAGAUAUCUGUUCUGAGGCGGAUUCAGACGUCGCUGACCACUCCUAUUUACCCCCCCCCCAAGGUGUUUGCUCUACCUUGGCAUGAUGAUGUUAGUCAUAUCAUGCAUAUGUUGCCUUACAGUGCCUACUUUUGACAUCAUAUAUGUCAUUUGCUUAGUUUAGACAUAUUCUGUAAUGCCACAUGUUUAGUUUCUAUAUCAUAUAUGGAAAUUAUGCAGUCUCAUGUCUUUUAGCCAGCCAUAAUAUAUGUGAAAUGUGAAAUGCCAUCCUGUUUAACCAUGCAUCAUAUAUUUGAAUGAUAUCUUUCCCAUCCUUUACUUCAUUACAUUUCCAUUUUUCGAUAAUGUUUGUACAUUAAACGACUCUUCCUGUGAAUCAGCCAUUUGGGUGGGAGAUGGAAAAAUCUGGAGUGAAAACAAGGCCUUCGGAGCAGACAGUACUACCUGUCGAAGCAGAUCUCUUGUUGGGUCCCGAUAGCUCCUCAGAGAUGGAUUUAGAGACAGAUGAUCAGUCCUAUUCCGCCACCAAGGUGUAUGCUCUAACUUGGCACGGUUAUACUGCUCAUAUCAUGCAUAUGGUGUCUUGCAUUGCAUAGUUUAGACAUCAUAUACACAAUAUUCAACAUCAUGUUCUUAGUUCAGACAUCAUAUUGAAUGCCCUCUGUUUAGCAUACAAAUCACAUAUGUGAAUUAAAUGAUGCGAUCUUGAUUACUUAGAUAACAUGUAGGUGAAUUAUGUCAUGUGAUCCUGUUUAGUUAUUCAUCAUAUCUUUGAAUUAUGUUAUGCUAUGCUAUCCAGUUUAGAUAGACAUCAUAUAUGUGAAAUUAUGUCAUGCUAUCCAUUUUAGUUAAACAAUAUACAUGUCAACUAUUUCAUGCCCUCUUUUCUCCACACUGUCUAUUGCAUCUGUCUCUCAUACAAUGUCUGUACAUUCAACUAUGUUUACUGUUUAUCAGCCAUUUGAAUUGGAGCAGGUGAUGCCAGUAUCUAGCGGACUAAAAAGACGGUCUUCAAAUAAAACAGUGCUACCUCUUGGUGGAGAUAGCACCCUGGUUGUACAUGCACGAGAACCAGCCCUACCAUACAUAACCCAAACUCUCGCAGAUUGUACCCCUACUGUGAUGGACAGAGAACCAGCUUCACCCAAUCUAACCCCAACCCCAGCAGAUAGUAACCCAGUUCCUAUUAACACAGCACCAUCUCCACCACAGAGCUCCCAAACAAGAGCAGUUAGUAAGGCAGCUCCAGUGCCCAAAGGGCCAGUACUACCACGGCGAACCCCAACUCCACCAGUUAGUACGCCUAUUCCUGUGGAGGAAGCACAACCAGCUAGUCGUAGUUUAGCAUCUAUCGCAUUUGAUGUUGUUAAAUCAUAUGUGCAUAUCUUCCCAUCUUGGAAAUAUUAUACUGAAGAUGAAAGAAAAUGUCAGUUGCAGGUGUUUGUCUAGGAGUUAUGUGUAAGUAAUGUUAUUCAUGGCAAUUACUUUGCUUUGUCCCAUACAUCCUACCUCCAUGAUGGUUAUAAUACAGCAAAUUUUCCCAUUUUUAUCUAUAGAGAAGGACCAAUUUGGAAACUCAGGAUGAGGUAACUUGUGCUAAUAGCUCUGCUAUCUUCAAAAAUGCUUGGUGGCAGUAUCAGAAUUACCUGAAGAAAACGUACUUCACCGGCAAAGAAACUCAUCAAAUUCCCUUACGUUCUCAUGAGACACAUUUACUGGACGAUGACUGGGAACGUCUUGUUCUGUACUGGUCCCGAACCAAGAACGUGGUAAGGUCUAUGAGCUCAUUUUCUAUCUUUAAGUACUAUAUUCUUGUGUCUUACUGUACUCUGUUUAUGUAGAACAAGUGCCUAAACCUGAAGAACAACUGUCUAAUUUAAGAUUCUAUUGCUAUCAUAGUUCAAAAAAGUGUUAGGCGUUAAUUGUGCGUUUUGCCACCGCCUUGCGCUUUACUGACCAAAGCGCAUGCUUAUGCGCAGUUAUGUAUAGAUUAAGCUUAGUUAUGCGCAAUGCGUUUUGCCAACGCCUAGAGCCUAGGCGCGCUUAAGCGCUCACUUAGGCGCGCCUUUUUUAACUAUGAUUGCUAUCGUGCAUACUGCUUUGCUCUUGUAUCACUGUAUUUAUUCAUACAAACUUAUUUUUAAAUUGAAGGAUCCAACCAAAACUCCAAUGGCACAAUAGGUAUGUUCAUGCAUGUUUCUUUAACAGGUUUGCUCUUAUCAAUAGCUCUGUUGAUUUCAAUUUCAAUUGUGUAUACAGUUGACUUCUCAUAUCAUGCACAUUACUAGAAUCACAACAGAGCCAAUAGUGUUGUUGUACAUGUAGACCCGUGGUACCCAUCUGAAAUCUUGUUGUGCUGUGUAGUUUCCCACGCUUUGUAUUCUUUCACUGCUGCUUUGUCUUGAACUGAUAUGAUUUGAACCAUGUCUCUAUUUUGAUUUGGCAAGACAAUGCAGUGACCAUAGGACAUAGAUAUAUGUUUGUUUGAUGCUUUUAUUAUGUACUAGUACUUGGCAAUAGAAGACCUGGUAGUUUAAUCCUGUCCACCUUACUAACGAACUGGUUCACCGAAAUGAGUUUCAUAUACUAGUACAUGCUAAAACUGUUAUGUGUCUGCUUGUUUCUUCUUUUAGAAUGCUGACAGAAUAUUGGGGAAGAGUGCCUUAUUAAGCAAUGGUAAAGGAAGUAAUGCAGAUAAGGUUCAAGAUAGUGAGACAGCCUUGUUGGUCUCCAACAAAGCUGAUAAAACAGCUAAGGAAGACUAUCUUGAAGACAGUGAGACAACCCCAAAGUCCUGUUUUGGUUUAGUGUUUGAGUUAAUGGCCACUACUGCUUGCACAAGCUAUUCAAACUCACUGUCUAAAUCAGUUCAGUUUCUUGAGUCUCAACUACAAGCUGAAAGACAUCGAUCAGUUGUGCUGCGACAAGACGCGGAAGGACUGCGGAAGUCCCUGGAGCAUUCAGAUGCAUACUUUCUGGUGCAACAGCAAGCGUUGGAGGAUUUUAGCGCCAAACAAGAUAAAGCUAAUAAGCUUGCUAAGCUUAUUGCCAGCAUGGUGGAUACCCAGGAUAACGUUUCUUGAGCUCUUCUGAAGUUGUUUUAGUUAUGCUCUUGUUUUGCUGCCGCGUUUAUUUGCACUGGUGGCCAAUUUUGACGGCCAGUGUAUGUAAUAUGCUGCUUUGUUCCCUAUAUUUGCACUGGUGGCGAACUUUGAUGCCCAAUGGAUGUAAUAUGUGUAAUAGCGGUAAGAGGCUAGCGACUAAUUGCUUGCUUAUUUAUUUCCUUAUUGUCUUGUUUAGAUGUUUGCUUGUAGUCACUGCAGUUCUUUUUCCGUGUUUUUCUAGUGGCCACAAUAAUCUAUUUUUGGUAACUAGGCCAAAAUAAUCAUGGCAACACACAGACUGUUGUAACCAUUGGCCUCCUGAGGGCCGUAUGAUCCAUGGGCCUUCUACGGGUCGUAGGAUCCAUUGGCCUUCUAUGCGGGCCGUUGGAUCCAUGGGCCUUCUACGGGCCGUAGGAUCCAUGGGCCUUUUACGGGUCGUACGAUCCAUGGGCCUUCUAUGGGCCGUAUGAUCCACGGGUCGUAGGAUCCAUGGGCCUUCUACGGGGCGUAUCAUCAUUUCGCCAAUCAUGGGCCAUACUAUUCGUGGACCAUAACGGGCCGUUAAUAGGCCAUAUUCCAUAACUCUAUGAAAACAUCCCAACGGGUUUUUUUACAUGAAAACGGCCCAACAUAUUAACGGGCCACAAACGGGCCGAGUGUAACCACAGACUGAAUUUGGCCCACAAGCAGAAAAUGACAGUAACGAGCCAUAAGUAACCGAAUGCUGGAAAUGAGCCCAAGAAUAAAUGGGCCCUAAGAAGGCCGAAAGAUAACAUGGGAUAGAAACGGCCCAAUGGAAUAAUGGGCCGUUAAUGGGUAUAAAGUGAUACAUUGUUCAUUACGGGCCAGUUUCACCACGGGUCGUUAAUGGGCCAAGAGUUACAAAGGGCCUCAUAUGGGCUGAAAGACGUCAUGGGCCAUACAUGGGCCGGAAGUUAAAAUAGGGUGGAAUCAUAUUGGACGGCCUAGAUGACGCUACUGGGCCUAAUUCGGAGAGGUCGUAACGGGCCCUGGGUUAGCGGGCUAUAAAUGGGCUAUAUGCGAAGAGGCCGUUAAUGUAGCGACCUGACCCGAAUGGAUCACGUCUACUGUGCUACGGUGUCAUCCCUGGAUCAGUAAUGCUGACACCACACAGUACAUCGAGGUUUUAUAGCAGAGUUGCAAUCACACACUUAUUACAUCGAUGGCUGAAAAAGAACUUAUUACAAUAAUCAUGGCUUAAGGCCAUCUAAUAACGAUAACAGCGGAAGGCUUGGAAGAUAAGUGAGUCCAUCAACUCCAUCGGCAUCACUGAGUAUAGAACCACGACCUAAAUUCCUUACUCGUCGUCUGAAAAGUCUGCAACAUGAAAGUUGCAGCCCAAAAACGGGUCAGCACAUGGAAUAUGCUGGCAAUGUAACACAUAGAGAGUAAUGGAAUGAAACAGCUAUACUAUAUGCAUAUAUGGCUGGUGGAAAGCUCUAUGGUUACAGUUUUGCGUAAAGCCAGUUUUUCCCUACUGCAAAGGAAUAAGUUUAUUUAACUAUCAUGGUGGUUGUUAAACAUUGAGAAUGGUUGACAGCAUCCUCAAUCCCAGUUAAAAGUACUCAUUAAAAACCCAACAACAUUAAUUAGAAGUAACAUGUUGAGAUUCACAAAGAUGUUCAAGUACUAGAUACUCAAGUUGUCCAUAACCGGGGACACGGCUAAUCAUGAUUAGUUUGUUACUCUGCAGAGGUUUGCGCACUUUUCCCCACAUGACUCGAUCGCCUCCGUUUGUUUUCUCGCACUACAUGGUGUUUGAGAAACGGAUGACCGAGACAUAGUCUUUCAGAAGCGCUAGCACCUUACAUGUGGGGUAAACCGGUACACCUACAUCCCCUACAUCUGCUAGUCUACCCCGUAAGAGUUCGCACAACUUAGUCAACUAUGCUAGAGCCCAUAGUAGCAUGUGGCUGCACACGGAAGUUUCUAGCAUGAAAGAUCUUAUGAUCCCUUUGAGCCUGGGUGGCGGUCCAAAAUAAAAACAGGCAAGUCCUGNNNNNNNNNNAAUCCUAGAAUAACCAGGUGCCUCAAUCCACCCAGAUGUGUGUUUAAGUUGCCACCUUAAGUAAACCAUUAAUUAACAAUCUCACAUCUGUCAUGGAUACUCUCAAAACCCAAUCCACGUCUACUAGCAUAGCAUGGCAUAAUAAGCAAACGUAGAAGUAACUCCCAAGGGUUUGAUAAUAAACAGGUAAUAGGUACUACCUCAAUUCUACUUCCCAAUCCCACAAUUUAAUUUAGAUCCUAAACCAUGCAAAUGUUUGAGGGUUUGAUCUAAUGCAAUAAAACUGGGUAGUAGGAAAGAUAUGAUCAAGUGUUACUUGCCUUGCUGAUGAUCCGCGUGACCUAGAGAUUCGAAGUAACAAGCGGCGCACUCCGGGUGAUCUAACGCAGACAAACAACAAGCAUACAAUAAGUACUCAUCUAAUGCACAGGUAAAACUCGAACAAGAGAACGAACCAGGUGGUUCAACUUAAGAACUCCGGUUGCAAGAAAGAACGAAAAACAAACGGCGGAAGAAAACAACUCGGUUCUAGCAAGUUGAAUCCAGGUCAAAAUUUUACUGUAACAAAAGCUUGUUCAAGUUGAUUAGACGGAACGGCGGUUUCGAGGCGAAACUCCAGGCUUUUGAAUCACCUGAUUCCGAUAAACGAGCAAGAAGAUAGACUAGAAAGAAGAUCGGAUCUGAAAUCACGAUCGGAAGAAUCGCGGAAUAAAUCCGACGAGAAAAGAGAACGACGAACGGUUAAACGAACGGACGUUCAUUAACCUAGAAGAAUCCGGUGAUCACGUUCGUUAGGACGAACGGUCCGGGGAACGGUAAAAAGGCAACUAAAUCGGAAAAGAAAACAAAUCCGAUCUAGGGUUUCGGAAAAGAGAUCGAAACGAAAAACCGAUCUAGAAAACCGGAACGGUUUAGAGAAGAAAAGAAUCGGAACGAUUUAGAAGAAAACGAUCCGAGAAAAAGAAUAGAUGUAGCGCGGGGCAACCUUGGCGAGGUCUCCGGUGAGCGGGGCUCCGGCNNNNNNNNNNNNNNNNNNNNNNNNNNNNNNNNNNNNNNNNNNNNNNNNNNNNNNNNNNNNNNNNNNNNNNNNNNNNNNNNNNNNNNNNNNNNNNNNNNNNNNNNNNNNNNNNNNNNNNNNNNNNNNNNNNNNNNNNNNNNNNNNNNNNNNNNNNNNNNNNNNNNNNNNNNNNNNNNNNNNNNNNNNNNNNNNNNNNNNNNNNNNNNNNNNNNNNNNNNNNNNNNNNNNNNNNNNNNNNNNNNNNNNNNNNNNNNNNNNNNNNNNNNNNNNNNNNNNNNNNNNNNNNNNNNNNNNNNNNNNNNNNNNNNNNNNNNNNNNNNNNNNNNNNNNNNNNNNNNNNNNNNNNNNNNNNNNNNNNNNNNNNNNNNNNNNNNNNNNNNNNNNNNNNNNNNNNNNNNNNNNNNNNNNNNNNNNNNNNNNNNNNNNNNNNNNNNNNNNNNNNNNNNNNNNNNNNNNNNNNNNNNNNNNNNNNNNNNNNNNNNNNNNNNNNNNNNNNNNNNNNNNNNNNNNNNNNNNNNNNNNNNNNNNNNNNNNNNNNNNNNNNNNNNNNNNNNNNNNNNNNNNNNNNNNNNNNNNNNNNNNNNNNNNNNNNNNNNNNNNNNNNNNNNNNNNNNNNNNNNNNNNNNNNNNNNNNNNNNNNNNNNNNNNNNNNNNNNNNNNNNNNNNNNNNNNNNNNNNNNNNNNNNNNNNNNNNNNNNNNNNNNNNNNNNNNNNNNNNNNNNNNNNNUGGCUCCCUGGCCCCCUUGGUGCGUGCGUGCGGUGGCCUUGGCCUUGGCCGGCCGGCGGCUAGCAGCUUGGGCCUUUGGCCCAAGGCGCUGCAGUUUUUUUUUUUUAAACGGUCUCACGCGCAGAGAGACAAAAAAAAAAUCUAAACGAACUCCAAAAUUAAUAAAGUAAGCUUUCCCCGACUCCUAAAAAUGAGUCGAACAAAAAGAACUUUACUCGGGGCCUAAAUGCAAUUUUUUUAAAACACGCAUUUUUCCCUAAGGCAAAUAAAACGCAAAUAAAACUCCGGCAACAACCAAAAUGGGUUUAUUUAUUAAAUCUUCAUUUUUCCUAAAUUUGGGAAAGUCAUAUUAUUCCCUCUCUCAAAAUUUUUAUAGGAAAAACUUUAUGAAGAUAAUUAAAUAAAUCCAAAUGAUCCUAUUUUCAAAAUUUGAGAAAUCCCAAAUAUGAAAAUAAUGAAACUUCCAACUCUCUCCGAGGGUCCUUGAGUUGCGUGAAAUUUUCUAGGAUCGGAAAAAUGCGAGAAAAUAUGAUAUGCAUGAUGACCUAAUGUAUAACAUUCCAAAUUGAAAAUUUGGGAUGUUACAAACCUACCCCCUUAAGAUGAAUCUCGCCCUCGAGAUUCGGGUUGGCUAGAAAAUAGGUGAGGGUGGUCCUUGAGCAAAACUUCCUCUCUUUCCCAGGUGGCUUCAUCCUCAGUGUGGUGGCUCCACUGAACUUUACAAAACUUGAUAACUUUGCUGCGGGUAACUCUGCUGGCAUAAUCGAGAAUCUUAACAGGUUUUUUUUCCUCAUAUGUCAAAUCAUCCUUCAACUGAAUUGCUUCCAGUGGCACUGUGUCUCUUAACGGUACCUCUGCUAUCUCUGGGUGACAUUUCUUCAACUGAGAAACAUGGAAUACAUCAUGAACUCCUGUCAGUCCUUCUGGCAAUUCCAACUUAUAAGCAACUUCUCCCAUACGUUGCAAAAUCUUAUACGGUCCAACGAAACGGGGUGCUAACUUUCCUUUAACUCCAAAACGCUUAACUCCUCGAAGCGGGGAUACUCUGAGAUAUACUCUGUCUCCAACUUCAUACUCAAUCGCCUUGCGCUUUGAAUCGGCAUAGCUCUUCUGUCUGGACUGGGCUACCUUGAGCCUGUCUCGAAUCAACUUAACCUUCUGUUCAGACUCCUUAAUCAAAUCUGGUCCAAACAACUGACGAUCUCCAGUUUCGUCCCAUGACAACGGUGUCCUGCACCUUCUUCCAUACAGAGCCUCGAAAGGUGCCAUCUUCAAGCUGAUUUGGUAACUGUUGUUGUAGGAAAAUUCUGCAUACGGCAAAUUAUCAUCCCAGCUAGAUCCAUAAUCUAGUGCACAAGCUCUCAGCAUAUCUUCCAAAAUCUGAUUGACUCUCUCAGUCUGUCCAUCGGUCUGUGGGUGGAAAGCUGUACUGAAUUCCAAUCUAGUUCCCAAUGUCUCGUGCAACUGGUUCCAAAAUUUCGAGGUAAACUGGGUUCCUCUAUCUGAUACGAUGCUCCUCGGAACUCCGUGUAAACACACAAUUCUGGUCAUGUAUAUCUUUGCCAACUUAGCACUGCUAUAGGUAGUCUUGACUGGAAUGAAAUGAGCUACCUUUGUUAAACGGUCGACUAUAACCCAAAUCGAGUCAUAUCCUGAACGGGUCUUUGGCAAACCUGUGAUGAAAUCCAUGCCUAGUUUAUCCCACUUCCAUUCGGGUAUCGGCAACGGUUGUAACAAUCCUGCUGGCUUCUGAUGUUCUGCCUUUACUCUCUGACAUACAUCGCAAAUAGCUACAUACUCCGCAAUAUCCUUCUUCAUUCCGGUCCACCAGAAAGUGUUCUUCAAAUCCAAAUACAUCUUGGUAUUUCCUGGGUGAAUCGAAUAGGGUGAAUCAUGUGCCUCCUGCAAAAUCAACUUCCUGAUCUCCGGGUCAUUGCGCACAUAAACACGGUCCUCAAACCAUAAGGUAUCGUGCUCAUCCUCACGAAAUCCCUUUGCUUUUCCUUUGCUAAGUCUCUCCUUUAUAGCAGCAAUCUCCUUGUCAGAUUUCUGAGCUUCUCUGAUCUUAUCCAUCAAUGUUGAUUGAAUCUCCAAUGCUGCUACAUAGCCUUUCGGAACUAUUUCCAAACAUAGCUCACGAAGGUUUUCUGCUAAUUCCUUUGGUAUUUUCCCCGUCAUUAUCGUAUUGACAUGGCUCUUACGGCUCAAUGCGUCAGCUACUACAUUAGCCUUUCCGGGGUGAUAAUGCAAUCUCAUAUCAUAAUCCUUGAUAAGUUCUAACCAUCUCCUUUGUCUGAGAUUCAAUUCCUUCUGUGUGAAGAUGUACUUCAGACUCUUGUGAUCCGUAUAUACUUCACAAUGAUUUCCAAUGAGGAAAUGUCUCCACGUCUUCAGGGCAUGCACAACGGCUGCUAACUCCAAAUCAUGAGUGGCAUAAUUCAACUCAUGGGGCUUAAGUUGUCGUGAAGCAUACGAAACAACUCUUCCUUCCUGCAUAAGCACUGCUCCAAGUCCUCGACGUGAAGCGUCGCAAUACACCUCAUAAUCCUUAGUCUGAUCUGGCAAUAUCAAAACUGGUGAGGUAACCAAUCUUUUCUUCAACUCCUGAAAACUUGCCUCACAGUCCUCAGUCCAUAUGAAUUUGUUAUCCUUCUUCAACAAUUCAGUCAUAGGCUUAGCAAUCCUUGAGAAAUUCUCAAUGAAUCUUCGGUAGUAUCCUGCGAGUCCAAGAAAACUCCGAAUCUCUCCAACUGUCGUUGGUGCUUCCCAAUUAGUUACGGUCUCAACCUUUGUGGGGUCAACUGCUAUUCCUUCUCCGGAUAUAACAUGUCCGAGAAAUCCAACUUCCCUUAGCCAAAACUCACAUUUGCUGAACUUGGCGUAUAACUGAUGUUCUCUUAGCUUCUCCAAAACCAAACACAAAUGUUCCUUGUGUUCCUCUUCAUUCUUCGAGAAAAUCAAAAUGUCAUCUAUGAACACCACGACGAACUUAUCCAAAAACUCCAUAAACACUUUGUUCAUCAGGUUCAUGAAAUAAGCUGGUGCGUUAGUCAAUCCAAAUGACAUAACGGUAUACUCGUACAGUCCAUAUCUCGUGGUAAAUGCAGUCUUGGGUAUGUCUUGCUCCCGAAUCUUCAACUGAUGGUACCCUGAUCGCAAGUCGAUCUUGGAAAACACUUUGGCUCCUUGCAAACGAUCAAACAGAUCAUUUAUCAUUGGUAGUGGGUACUUGUUCUUGAUUGUUACCGCAUUCAAUUCACGAUAAUCAACAACCAUUCUCAACGAUCCAUCCUUCUUCUCCACUAACAGAACGGGUGAUCCCCAAGGUGAAGAACUUGGGCGAAUAUAACCUUUAUCCAAUAACUCCUUAAUCUGAUUCUUAAUUUCCACCAAAUCCUUUGCUGGCAUCCGGUACGGUCGCUUCGAUAUUGGGCCUGUUCCUGGCAAUAGUUCAAUCAAAAACUCAAUGUCUCUAUCCGGUGGCAUGCCUGGCAAUUCUUCAGGAAAUACAUCAGGAAAAUCCUUUACCCCUGGUACUUCCUCCUGCACAACUCCUGAUAAGCAAUUCACUUGUGUCCUGUUUGGCACAUGCCGGGAUACAUACUUGAUCCUUCUUCCUUCUGGUGUGGUAAGCAAAAUUGUCUUACUGGCGCAAUCGAUGUUUCCUCCAUACAUCGACAGCCAAUCCAUACCAAGAAUCACAUCCAGACCUUGGGAUUCUAGAAUAAUUAAAUCCGUUGGGAAUACAUGCCUUCCUAUACUCAAUGGUACUUGAAAACAUCCUUGUCUGGCCAUGUAUUCUGCUCCUGGCGAGCUUACUAGCAUAGGUGUUUUAAGAAUCCUAGUGGGCAGGCUAUACUUUUCCACAAAUCCCCUUGAUAUGUAUGAAUGCGAUGCACCAGUAUCAAAAAGAACGAGUGCAGUAAAUGACUUAACCAAAAACUUACCGAUUACUGCAUCGGGCUGAUCUUCAAUCUCCUCCACAUUAACGUGGUUCACCUGUCCCCUGUUGAAAGGGUUGGGCUUCUUCCCAGAGCUUCCAUUGCCAUUUCCAUUCUGGCCUUCAGGACAUUCAUUUGCAUAAUGUCCGGUCUUCGAACACUUGAAACAGGUGACUUGACUCAGGUCUCUCUUGGUUGGGGUGGAUGGGGUUGUUCGGUUCUGGCCGUUGCUUCCUCCAUUCCCAUUACCAUUCUUGUGGCCAUUAUGGUUGUGCGAGCUACCUCCUCCAUGGGUGUGCUGAAACUUAAAUCCCGGUUUAGGUGUAAAACGGGGCUUCUGCUGGCCUCCAGAGUUAUACUUCCCCUGUCCAUACUUCCUCUUACGGUUCUCAAUUUGCUGCUGCUUUCCUUCAAUCAUAAGGGCUCGGUCUACUAACUCCUGGUAGUUAUUGAAAGUUACUACCAUCAACUGCAUGCUUAGUUCAUCAUUUAGUCCUUCCAGAAACUUCUCCUGCUUAGCUACAUCCGUAGCAACGUCAUCUGGGGCAUAACGGGCUAGCUUACUAAACUCCUCCACAUACUGGCCAACAGUCCUUCCUCCUUGGCGUAAGUUGCGAAACUCACGCUUCUUUAUGGCCAUAGCUCCUGCUGAAACAUGGGCAGUGCGAAAAGCUUGCUGAAAUUGAUCCCAUGUGACAGUGUCUACCGGGUAAGUGGCUGUGAAAUUCUCCCACCAUGCGGCUGCGGGUCCUUCUAGCUGAUGUGCUUGCAAACUUCACUCUUUCUCCAUCUGUGCAUCCUGCAGUGGUCAACUCCCUUCCUAUCUUGCGGAGCCAAUCAUCUGCUACAAUCGGCUCGGUGCUACUGGAGUACACCGGCGGAUUUAGUCUAAGGAAACGAGUCAAAUGAUCCGCAGGUGGUGGUGGUGGGUUGUUGUUGUUGUUGCCCUGGUUCUGCACCAAUGUUUGAAUCAGGGUGUUCUGCUGCUGAAUCAGUUGGGUGAUCUCUGGCGGGAAAACGAAUCCAGGGUCGCGUCUCGGAGGCAUCUGAUGGGUUUAGAAAAGAAGAGAAAUUUAGAAUAGAAUGAGGUCUAAGGGGAAUCACUACCCAAAUGCACAUGAGCAAAUACACACAAAAUCACUCCAUUCAAUCAAAAAAGGCUUACAACGAUCUAACUAUCGCAAGUGCGUGUACUAUAAUGUUUACAUGGGGGGAAAUACUACUAAUAUGUGGUGGUCAUCUAGAAAUUUGAACCGGUGGAAGAUUCCAUGAUGUCGGCUCCAGCUUCGUCUUCGAAGUCGGGUUCACUUGGAUCCGAAUCGGUGUCGUCGAGGAUGAUGUAGUUGUCUGGACAUGCGACAUACUUGUCGUCCUCCUGGGAUGCUAACUUCCUCUUGAGUUCUUCAAUCUCCUGCUUAAGAUCGCAAUUGUGCCUUGCUAGAGCUACGAUCUCGUCCAUGUAGUCCUUGCGUGUAGACUUUAGUUCUCCUUCUAGCUCGAUGAUCCUUGCCUUCGUAUUCUUCAACUCUACCAUAUCAUUGCACAUCUGGUUCUCGUGGCGUCGAAUGUGCUGGUUUAACUCCUGGAUAAAAGCUGCAAUGGAUCUAUCCUUCUUGGUGCUGACUAUGUCCCAUUUGUCAUCUCGGCGUCCGCAAAUCUGGUAGAUGGUGUCCUUGAGGUCUUCUUGAUAAACUUCUCCAAUGCGUCCUAUGGUGAUAUGAGCUGCCAUGCUCCUUCCUAGACUCCAGGUUGGUGCAUUGAAAACACUAUCUAUGGGCUUCGUGAUUGGCGCGAAUGUUCUUCCCGGAAUGUGAGCUUGAAUCUUCCAGCGCUCCUCUUCAGGCAGAGUGGCGUUGAAGGUUCCCGUGAAGCUUGGUAAUCCAAUGUUCAGGUACUUGGUGACUUCUGGAUUUCGCUUGAAGGAAGUCUAAAAGGUGUGCCUUCAUCUGGUUGAGCGUACUUAAUCUUCGUGUCCUUCAUCCUAAAGGAGUAGAAAAGAUGAGGAGUUAGAAAAUGAGAGGAGAGUAGUGAUCUAUGGCUUUAACUUAGUGGUCGUGUCCUACAGUCAGCGUGUGCUCUGAUACCAUCUCUGUAGCGACCUGACCCGAAUGGAUCACGUCUACUGUGUUACGGUGUCAUCCCUGGAUCAGUAAUGCUGACACCACACUGUACAUCGAGGUUUUAUAGCAGAGUUGCAAUCACACACUUAUUACAUCGAUGGCUGAAAAAGAACUUAUUACAAUAAUCAUGGCUUAAGGCCAUCUAAUAACGAUAACAGCGGAAGGCUUGGAAGAUAAGUGAGUCCAUCAACUCCAUCGGCAUCACUGAGUAUAGAACCACGACCUAAAUUCCUUACUCGUCGUCUGAAAAGUCUGCAACAUGAAAGUUGCAGCCCAAAAACGGGUCAGCACAUGGAAUAUGCUGGCAAUGUAACACAUAGAGAGUAAUGGAAUGAAACAGCUAUACUAUAUGCAUAUAUGGCUGGUGGAAAGCUCUAUGGUUACAGUUUUGCGUAAAGCCAGUUUUUCCCUACUGCAAAGGAAUAAGUUUAUUUAACUAUCAUGGUGGUUGUUAAACAUUGAGAAUGGUUGACAGCAUCCUCAAUCCCAGUUAAAAGUACUCAUUAAAAACCCAACAACAUUAAUUAGAAGUAACAUGUUGAGAUUCACAAAGAUGUUCAAGUACUAGAUACUCAAGUUGUCCAUAACCGGGGACACGGCUAAUCAUGAUUAGUUUGUUACUCUGCAGAGGUUUGCGCACUUUUCCCCACAUGACUCGAUCGCCUCCGUUUGUUUUCUCGCACUACAUGGUGUUUGAGAAACGGAUGACCGAGACAUAGUCUUUCAGAAGCGCUAGCACCUUACAUGUGGGGUAAACCGGUACACCUACAUCCCCUACAUCUGCUAGUCUACCCCGUAAGAGUUCGCACAACUUAGUCAACUAUGCUAGAGCCCAUAGUAGCAUGUGGCUGCACACGGAAGUUUCUAGCAUGAAAGAUCUUAUGAUCCCUUUGAGCCUGGGUGGCGGUCCAAAAUAAAAACAGGCAAGUCCUGGAUUACCCAGGUGCCUAGACAGGCAAAUCCUAGAAUAACCAGGUGCCUCAAUCCACCCAGAUGUGUGUUUAAGUUGCCACCUUAAGUAAACCAUUAAUUAACAAUCUCACAUCUGUCAUGGAUACUCUCAAAACCCAAUCCACGUCUACUAGCAUAGCAUGGCAUAAUAAGCAAACGUAGAAGUAACUCCCAAGGGUUUGAUAAUAAACAGGUAAUAGGUACUACCUCAAUUCUACUUCCCAAUCCCACAAUUUAAUUUAGAUCCUAAACCAUGCAAAUGUUUGAGGGUUUGAUCUAAUGCAAUAAAACUGGGUAGUAGGAAAGAUAUGAUCAAGUGUUACUUGCCUUGCUGAUGAUCCGCGUGACCUAGAGAUUCGAAGUAACAAGCGGCGCACUCCGGGUGAUCUAACGCAGACAAACAACAAGCAUACAAUAAGUACUCAUCUAAUGCACAGGUAAAACUCGAACAAGAGAACGAACCAGGUGGUUCAACUUAAGAACUCCGGUUGCAAGAAAGAACGAAAAACAAACGGCGGAAGAAAACAACUUGGUUCUAGCAAGUUGAAUCUAGGUCAAAAUUUUACUGUAACAAAAGCUUGUUCAAGUUGAUUAGACGGAACGGCGGUUUCGAGGCGAAACUCCAGGCUUUUGAAUCACCUGAUUCCGAUAAACGAGCAAGAAGAUAGACUAGAAAGAAGAUCGGAUCUGAAAUCACGAUCGGAAGAAUCGCGGAAUAAAUCCGACGAGAAAAGAGAACGACGAACGGUUAAACGAACGGACGUUCAUUAACCUAGAAGAAUCCGGUGAUCACGUUCGUUAGGACGAACGGUCCGGGGAACGGUAAAAAGGCAACUAAAUCGGAAAAGAAAACAAAUCCGAUCUAGGGUUUCGGAAAAGAGAUCGAAACGAAAAACCGAUCUAGAAAACCGGAACGGUUUAGAGAAGAAAAGAAUCGGAACGAUUUAGAAGAAAACGAUCCGAGAAAAAGAAUAGAUGUAGCGCGGGGCAACCUUGGCGAGGUCUCCGGUGAGCGGGGCUCCGGCNNNNNNNNNNNNNNNNNNNNNNNNNNNNNNNNNNNNNNNNNNNNNNNNNNNNNNNNNNNNNNNNNNNNNNNNNNNNNNNNNNNNNNNNUUUGAUGGUUUAGAGGGGGGGUGCUUGGGUAUUUAUAUUGGGGAGGGGAGGGUUUUUGCUUGGGGUAGGGGACAAGAAAUAGAUUAGGAUUAGGAAUAGAUCUAGGAUUAGAUACGGAAUAAACGAAGUAGGAAAAGAGUCCUACUAGGAUAAGGCAAAAGGAGUGGCUCCCUGGCCCCCUUGGUGCGUGCGUGCGGUGGCCUUGGCCUUGGCCGGCCGGCGGCUAGCAGCUUGGGCCUUUGGCCCAAGGCGCUGCAGUUUUUUUUUUUUAAACGGUCUCACGCGCAGAGAGACAAAAUAAAAAAAAAUCUAAACGAACUCCAAAAUUAAUAAAGUAAGCUUUCCCCGACUCCUAAAAAUGAGUCGAACAAAAAGAACUUUACUCGGGGCCUAAAUGCAAUUUUUUUAAAACACGCAUUUUUCCCUAAGGCAAAUAAAACGCAAAUAAAACUCCGGCAACAACCAAAAUGGGUUUAUUUAUUAAAUCUUCAUUUUUCCUAAAUUUGGGAAAGUCAUAUUAUUCCCUCUCUCAAAAUUUUUAUAGGAAAAACUUUAUGAAGAUAAUUAAAUAAAUCCAAAUGAUCCUAUUUUCAAAAUUUGAGAAAUCCCAAAUAUGAAAAUAAUGAAACUUCCAACUCUCUCCGAGGGUCCUUGAGUUGCGUGAAAUUUUGUAGGAUCGGAAAAAUGCGAGAAAAUAUGAUAUGCAUGAUGACCUAAUGUAUAACAUUUCAAAUUGAAAAUUUGGGAUGUUACAGUUAACAGGCUUUCCGUGGGCCGGCCCGCCACCUUUUGACCAAGUCAAACGGGCCGGUAUUUUCACAGGAAUGGGUCUCUGUUGGGACGUGCCACGUGUCGAUGUAUCAUAGGCGCCUUGGGUCCAAUGAGUGGAUGACAUCUGUCCCAACGGUGAGCCGACACGUGUUUUCUCCAGCCAAUGAUGAUUUUACACGUGGAAAAUCCCCAUUGGUCGGGGCUGUUAACGGGUCAUCGGAUCCAAAACCGGACCCGGUAGCUUAACGGUGUUCCGUUACAGUGGAUGCCACGUGUCGGUCACCCUUGACGAAAGCACUUCUGUGACACGCGAUUUAUCGUCAUGGAAGUGGACACUUCCGUGAUGAUAAUUUUGGUAAUGUCAUGGAACACUUCUACGACAGCACAGGUAUGACUAUCUUGAUUCUGUCAUAAAAUUGUCAUGGAUGUACAUGCAUGACAAAAAAGGGACCUACUGUGAUAAACACGUAUCAUCACGGAAGUGUAUUUUUCUGUAGUGACAUGAAUUUUUUUUGUAUUGUCGAUAUGAAUAUCUUUGAAGUUUGGGCCAUCGCCAUCCAAUUUCAUCUCGAAGGACAAAGUUGUGUUUAAAAUACUGAGAUUUGUAUCCAGAGCACUAUUCGACAGAUUACGCCUCAAGGAAUGCCACAAAUGAGAAAACUUUCUACACGAAUUGUCUAUGUCUCGCCUAAACGGUCGAUUAUGAUAUAGAAAUCGUCUCAAUCCAAGGUCGUAUUAAAAGUUAGAGCCACCUGAGUGCGCCCCUGUCAUGAGCUAAAAGUGGUGCGCCCCAUCACACAUCCAUAUAGCUGAUGUCUGAUGGGUAGCGCAAGUAAUAGUCUAUUCUACGCGAGCCAUUCUGCCCUGAAGAUGGCCUCCAAUCGAAAAUCUUUCAACAUGAAAGUUGUUCGUCUCAUCAAAACGGUUAAAUUCGCUUCUUAUGUGAUUUUGUUCUGAGGUCGUUUACUACCCCAAAAAUGACCCACAAGAUGCAGCCAAUUUUUAGACCGAACAAUUUUGGGAAGUUCGGAUCAAACAAUCCGAAUUGGACCCGAAUUAGGGUUUUGGACAUGAAUUACAACUUCUUGUUGGACGGGAAGUCCACCCGCCUCUUAUAUACAUGAGGGGUGACGGCCGAUUGAACAACACACAAUCAAACAAAUCUAUCUACCACUUUUACUUUUACUUUUAUCUCUCUCCCUUGUUCUUCUUCUUCUUCUUCUUCUUCUUCUUUUUCUUCCUUGUUCUUUGUUCGUUCUUCUUGUUGCAGGGCGGAGAACCUCGAGGCCCUAGGGCGAUCAGGUCGACCUAGGGCAGCCUAUAGCCGCCACACGCCCUGACGAGUUUCCUCUCGGGCGUGUGGGGGUUUCAUGUCCUCAAAAGCGCUCACCGGAUUGCUUGCGUACCGUACUUUGGGACGGGUCUCCUUCGACAUGAGUUGUGGUGCAUUACCCUCGGUGUUGGAGGUAUAUGGUGACGGUUUGUGUGCGAACACACUUUUUGGUAACUCCCUUGGGGAUGAAGCUUUGAACGAUUCCCGGCCCGUUCUUGCUACAAAGAGAUCGUCGUCUAGGGUUUGCAAUCUACAAAGGUAAUAUGAAUACCCGAUUCACUUAUGUAGAUGCAAAUAAUGCAUAUGUUGUUGCUAGCUCAUUUAAUGAGCAUACUCUGUCGGCUAGCCCUAGUUUUAUCAAUCAUGCAUCUAAUUAUGUGCAACAGUCGAUUCAGAAUCAUCUUCAUGCUUCAACUUCAUAUAAGUUUAGCAACAUGCUCCAUAUGUACUCCAACUCUCAUGCGUCGGCAACCCCAGAAACCGUUUUGCCAAUGAACAACAUAAUGUGUUUGGUCAAUCAAGUUGAAACACCUCUUGUAGGAACUUCCAAUAGCUUGCGACAAAGUGUUUCAACUUUUUAUUCAUCGACAACUAAUUUGCAAUAUACUAGUUGAACCAUGCCGAUGGAUGGGAGAAUUGGCCGUGCUACUACUGGCCAGUUACUCUCAGCUGUCAUAUGCUACACCUCAUGUUAGUAAUUAUUCAACAUCGUAUACAACUGUAGAUGCUCAUAAUUCGGCUCCGCUCCUUCAUGGUCAUAGCCGAAUAAGUGAAAAUUUUGCAGGAGUGCACAUGCCAUCAUCUAUUGUAGCAUAUAAUGCAUCCUAUAUGCAAUUGCAUAAUUUCGGCAACACCUCAUUGCCGAAAGAUUCUAAAGGUAUUGUGGAGAAAUCCCUUACAGAAUGGGAAGUGGCUACAUUAAGAAUAGAUAUGCCCGAAAUAACAAGAUUAGUGCUCUUUGCCUUGAAGACCAUGAUAAGGGGUUAGUUCCUUAUUAUAAUGCAAUAAAAGCUAGAGUUUUACAAGAAGAUGAAUCUUUACCAGUUAGUAAAAUUGGCAAGCAAAAAUAUGGUUUUACAACAAUGCAUACUCCUUCACCUAGUACUACAUAAUAUUGUACACCCCCUACACAAUUGCAAAGUUUCGGCAAACCCGUGCGUCAUUGCCGAAAGAAUCUAAAAGCAUUGGGGGCAACCAUAUCCAGAGUGGGCUGAAAUUGAGAAAAAGCUUAAAGCCAAUCUUGCCGCUCGUCGCCAGAAAUAGACAGAAAAAGAAUUGGCUGGAAUAAAAUAAGCAUUGUCAAUUGGUAGAAUCAAUAAAAAGAAGGAUGAUUCAGGACAUGAAAGUGCUUCGGUUGAAAAAGCCGAAUCUAGUAGUAUAUAUUCUGGGUCCAUCAAAUCCAAAGAGGCAAGCAUUAUUGAGAAAGGGCAUGUGAAGCAUCGCAAAACAGCCAUGCUUGAUUUUUCUAAAGUUAAUGAAACCUACUUCCUGCCCUGUGAGUUCUGUGCCAUAGAAUUGACAAGCCUCAAGGACAAGAACAGGUAGCUGAAUGAAGUUUGGUUGACAAGUAUCUUCAAAGUAACGAUGCACGAAAUCAAGAAAAAGGUGAUGAAAAGGCGCUGGGGAGCCAUCCAAAGACGGAGCAAGAUAUUGUUCAAGUCACACCACCAUCAUGCUCUCCCAACAUAUAUGAAGAGGUAUAAGCAAGUAAUUUACACAUUUUUAGAUUUGGUCAUAACUUUAUUGUUGAUGCAUCUAUUAGAAAAAUCCUCAUAAGUAAUUUUGAAAGACCAAUGAAGAAGGACAAUUUACUUGUUAGCAAUAAAAUUGUUAUAUAAUAUAUCGAUCAACUUAUUAUGCCAUCUCCAAAGAUUUAUAGUGACUUAUUAUUACAGCCAAAGGUUUCCCCAUUGCUUUAGUUAAAACUUAUAUCUAAGUGGGUAGCUUUGCUUGUUUCAUACUUAGCUUACACUUGGUCUCAAUUGAGACAUGUGUGUUCUAACUAUUAUCGUUUAAAAAAAUUAAAGCCAAGGUUAAAUUCUUUUGAGAAAUCCGAUGUUAAUAUAAUAUACAUCAGAGAUAGAGUGGAAAACACAAUGCAUAGCCGAAUGGGGAGAUUCCAAAUCUGAACCACUCAUUUGCUUACCUCCAAAGCCAUUUGUACACCAAGAUCGUCUAGAAAACAAGAAGUGUACCUUCAAUUCAUGCAUGUGUGAUCAAAUGUUUAAUUUGUUGCUGAAAAAUAAUUACAUUAGAAUUCUUGAUCACCAUGUCAAGCCAUCAAUCCAGGGAUGAAUAUAUUGUAAGUUGCAUGAUUCGUCCAAGCAUCAUUUUGAGGAUUGCGACAUGUUUCAUCAAAUAGUUAAACCGGCCAUUGAUAAAGGACGAUUAAAAUUUGUUGAAACACCAAGAGAUGACAAAUCUAUUUCGAUUGGUCUUGAUGGAAAAUGUUUUUUAAAUCGUAUGCUUGAAGUCGAUCCAUUUAAACAUGAGAAGGUAAAAACUACAUGUGAUGGGAUCAAGUUUUCAAGUAAAGAAGUUGUUGAAGAGCAUAAUGAACAUAAACUUGAUGGCGAGAAUUCCAUGGAAGCUACAAUGAAGACGCCAAGGACUGGGGGUAGCAAGCAAACCCAAUGAUCUAUGAAAAGCAAACCAAAAGAAAGCAAAGACCGAGGUAAGCACAAAGGCAAAAGGUCGAAAGUCACUUUGACACAACCAUUGGAAAAAUAUCAGAAGAAGAGUGAGGACAAAAGUGUUUAUCAGCCAAGUAAUUCAAAAGUAUCAAGAUCACGCGCAGAUCCGAGGAUCGGUAUUGGCAAAGUGAGAAUCUCAAUACAGCAUAUUCAUAUCCUUACUUUGGGCCGUCGAUGCCAAUGUCGUGGAUGCCUCCCCAUGCUCAUGUAAAUCCAUAUCCUUUGUGAGACAAGUAUGAUACAAGAGCACAUUCUCCAUCUUAUUUUAGACCGUCUCACCAACAUUGUGUAGCUCCAAGAAGAUCAAAGUUUGAUGAACAAUUAUAUGUUAAAGACCAUUUCAAUAAAAAGGAAUCCGUCCAGACCCCAUGGACGUAGAAAGAGGUGGUCAAACAAGUAUACCGAGUCAAGGAAGAUGGUCGUAAGUGUGCUACUUCAGAUUUGAUCUCAAAUAACAAAGAGCCAAUUAAAGUGUUGACAUUGGCUACAAAAGGCAAAGAAGUGAAGAAAUCAAUUGUUAAAAAUCAAAGUGCCAAAUCUGAAGGGAAGAAGUUGAGAGUGCACAAGGCCAAAAAAAGAGUUACCAUUUCUUGAAACAAAAUCACAGUCGAGUCGCCCACUCGGCUUAUCAUAUUCGAAAAAGAAGGAAUUACAAAAAUUAGUGCACAAGAGCUCAAAAAGAAGAACAUGACAUGGGUUCUCAAGAGGAGCAGCCAAAAUAAAAAUGAUGUGCAACCUUCUAUUGCAACAAGUGUUACAAAAGUGAAGAAGGGGAAGAGUAAAAGUAGUAAACAAUUCAGCCGAAGGUUUCCAUUACCCCAUCAAAAUCUUUGGUUAGAACAUCAUCCAUAUUCGUCAAACAUGCCAUUGAUGUCUUUUUCAUCUCCAGGUAUGAUCAGUUACCCUCCAUGGGCUUAUUUAGAUCCAUGGAUGCAAUAUAAUUUCUUAUAUCAUGAAAAGGUAUUACCAAAUCACUAUACAUUUGAUUAGCUACAAGUUUGUUGUUGAUCCAGAGGGCUGAAAUAUUUGAUUUGUCUAUUAAUUUGUUUAUUUCGGCUACACGUGCUUUGCUGGAUGAAGUUUACAUGGACCUUAUGUUAAUGGCCGAUAUUUAUCUAUCGCCCUAAGAAUAUGUCAAAGCAUGGCUGAUGUAGUAUCCUAACAUUGUCCUUAGUUCAAUUGUAGAGCGAGACGAGGUAUGUGUUUGAAACUUAUACAUAUUACUAAGAAUACUAGGCCCGUAAGGGUUCCUUUUUCCUGGUUUUAUUUAUUUAUUUUACAGCCUCUUGGUAAAACGACGCGUGUAAUUGUUGAAAGGACUGCCUACGAUCCUGGUGUGUUCAGAAUAUUUUAGUAAACAGUUUAAUCACGUGUCCUAUGAACUGACUAGAUAUUUGCAUGCAUUCUGGAAGGCAGUAGAACAGGCAAGUGAUUGGGGUUGAUGACACGUGCAAACACGUGUAACUGUUUCCGACGUUCGCUUUGGUUAGUCAUCGCUGUAGAAUCCUGGAGAAAUAUCGGGAGGCAAAACAAGCACAUCUAUAUAAAGCUUUUCUCGACCUAUAUCCACCGUCCCCAUCUCCAUCUGCCCACAUCCCCCCACGUUCCCCAAUGACGCCCCAGAUGCGGGGAGCGGCAUCGCUGCAUCCGUUCUUUCCAUUCUCCAUCGCUGCCACGACCAGUGAGAUCCGCACGAGGAGGGAGAUGCAUCAGGGAGGUUUCACGCUGCUCACCGGCGAAGCCCUCCGACGAGCGGCCAGACCCAGGCGAGGUGGAUUUCGUCGGUGAGGCCCUGUUCCCUUCCUCCUCUUCUGCGCGAUGGCGAGGUGGAUUUCGUCAGUGAGGUCCUGUUCCCUUCCUCCUCUUCUGCGCGAUCUGGCCCAGUGGUACGGAACCUCCCUGAUUUGGCUUUCUUUUUGCACUCCACUAUUCUCUGGCAUGUCGUCGUUCGUCCUUUGGUUC